rnacentral:lncRNA from 1 species
UGGCUCUCAAAAGCCCUUCUGGUCGCAAAUACGAUGUAAUCAUCCACUGUGCACACAACAUUCCUUGGUCUACCUUUUCGGCUAACUUGACUCCAAAAGGAAAGGUAGUAGAUACCACUCCUGGUUUCGGUACUUUGAUGAGUGUUGCUGCGAAAAAGAUUUCAUGCUCAAAGAAGCAACUCAUACCCUUGUUUACCUCACCUAAGAAAGAGAAUCUCGAUUUUCUUGUUAAUUUGGUGAGAGAUGGAAAGCUUAAGCCAAAAAUAGAUUCGAAGCAUCCUCUAAGUAAGGCCGAAGAUGCUUGGGCUAAGAGCAUUGAUGGCCAUGCCACUGGCAAGAUUCUUGUGGAGCCCUAGUUUAUGAAGAUAACUUGAUGCAUACAUUAAAUUUAUACUUUUUCUGUGAUUGGGGUUGCUUAUGAGUUAUUUGUAUAUUCACAAGUGCUCUGUAAUUUGAAGAAUACAAAUGUUGGUGUGUGAGUUCUUUUUUUGUUGGCAAUUUAAAGUGUGCUAACUGUAAUGUUAUUCAAAACUCUGUUUUGUUAUAAAAUUUAAAAUUUAAAAUUCAAAAUUCAAAAUUUUUUGUUUAAUGCCAUGGAAAAUUAGAUUUUGUUUUUGAAAUAUUGAACCAACCAUUUCAUUUCAAGAACACGUUUUGCUCACUAUUGAAUAUUGAAGGGAGUGAACAAUUACUCACCAUUUCAUUUCACGAACACAAUUUGCUCACUAUUUCAUUAUCAAAUGGACCGAUGGUGAAUAUUUGCUCUACAUUUUCUUUCAAAAUUUCUUUCAAAUCUUUAAAUAUUUUUUUAAGCUUUUGAUUCUUAUCAAUCAGUCUUGAAAAGUUUAUUUCUAGCAAAAUUUUUUAUGUUUUUAAGAUCAAAAUACAAUUUUCCAUUUUUUUUCAAUUUUUUGUAAGAACAUGAGAUCGAUUUCUUGAUUGUUCUUGACUUUGAUUUCUGAAAAAUUCAACUAGGCAAUGAUGAUUUAACUUAAUUUAAUGAUUUUCUAUACAUGAAAAUUAAUUUCUAAUGAUUUUCUCAUUUUUAAAGCUAUGCUCAUGUUGAUUGGAUUAGAGAGAGUCGAGAUUUCUUGUUGUUUUUGGGUUAGAUUUACAUUGCUAAUGAGUUUUUAAUUUUAUUAGGAUGCUAGGAAUUAGACUUGAUUGGAGAUUGAACAUAGUUCUUAGAAGUUGUCUUUAACGAGUGCUUAAAAGAAUGAGAAGAGAAAUUGAGUUUUCAAUAGAGAAUUCGAUGUUUUUAGGUUAGUUUUAAGUUCUUAAAUAUGAAUAUAAUGUUAGAUUUGAGUUACGGUAAGUUUUAAUUUGAAUCAUUGAAAGUGGGCAUUGAAGUGAGAAAGUGUACUGCUAAAUCACAUUGCAUGAUUUUGUUGAAAUUUAAAGGUUUUGAUUGUUGUGAUUUGUUGUUCUAACUUGGUUUAUUAUGUCGAUAUUGGCUUUAAAGUAAAAGAUGUUGGUGAGAGAUCAAAGGCGAAAUGAAGGAAAAUAUCACCGAAGCUCGAGUGGUUUCAGUUUGUGCAACUCGAUCUUCAAAUUUAUCUUUAUUAGAAUUGAGUAACCCAAAUCCUUAUUAAAAUAAAAGACAGUGGUAAAAUAAAAUAAAAGUAAAAUCAUAUAAAACUACACUUCUUUUAUUUUAUUUUAGAAUAAUAUUUUUUUAACCUUAUUACGUUUCAUCUAUUUGAUAUUGAUUAGAAUAAGGUGUUUCAACCUUACUACACCCCUUCUAUUAGAAUAUGGUUUUACAAGCUUAUAAAUAGAUAGUCUACUCCUCUUGUAAUAAUUCGAAUUCGACAUAGUGAAUUAUCUUCUCCUCUGUCCGUAAUUUUUUUCCCAAAAAGGUUUCCACGUAAAAAUCUGUAUAUUUCUUUAUUUUUCUCUAUUUUUUCUUUACGAUACAUUGUCAUUAUCGACGACAUUCUAUUUUUUUUACAAUAUUAAUCUUGUGUUAUAAUCUAAAUUGAGUUGAUGCAAUAUGAUUUUUACCGAGAUGAUUUUGAUUUAAUGUCAUGAUUACAAGUCGAAUUGAAAGUAAGCACGAAAUGUGAUAUUGAUGUUUUACAAAUGCCUAUUGAAUGUCAAAUUUCAUUGCAUCUAAUUAAAUACAAACCCUUUCAAUUUUUCUUUCAAAUUGACUCCCAAAUUUUUCGUACACAUUUCACUUCCUUCCAAAAUUUACUAUUUAUUUUAUCAUGCAAGUAUCUAUUUUUUUUUUCCUAACUUUUUUUUAUUAAUUUACCUUUAUAGGAUGCUUUGUGCACAUUAGUUUCGAGUUUUGAUUCACGGUACGUGAUAUUUUAAGUUUGAACCAAUUAAUAUUUGUUGAUGUGAUGGAAAUGAUGGUGCAAAGGCAAUGUCCUAUUAGUACUUCGAAUUUGUGUUGCAAUAUCUUGUUAAUAUCAAAACAAAACUUCACAAACAAAAUCCAAUUAUCCAUAGGAUCAUCUACAAUUCGAAUUACAUUAAACCAAAAAAGAAAAAGAAAUCGAACAAAACACAAUGCUCAAAUAUAUUACAUCUAACACAACAUAUGACGAAAAAAGCAACUCACACACCAAGAUUUGUAUUGUUCAAAAUACAGAGUACUUGUGAAUAUACGAAUGACUCAUAAGCAACCCCACUCAUUGAAAAAGUAUAAAAUUACUGUAUGCAUCGAGUAAUCUUCAUAAACUAGGGCUCCACAAGAAUCUUGCCCGUAGCAUGGCCUUCAAUGCUCUUGGCCCAAGCAUUUUCUGCCUUACUUAGAGGAUGCUUUGAAUCGAUUAUUGGCCUAAGCUUUCCUGCUUUCACCAACUUAACAAGAAAAUCGAGGUUCUCUUUCUUGGGUGAGGUGAACAAGGGUAAGAGUUGCUUCUUCGAGCAUUUAAUCUUUUUCGCAGCAACACUCAUCAAAGUACCGAAACCAGGGGUGGUAUUUACUACCUUUCCUUUCGGAGUCAAGUUAGCCGAAAAGGUAGACCAAGGAAUGUUGUGUGCGCAGUGGAUGAUCACAUCGUAUUUGCGACCAGAGGGGCUCUUGAGAGCCACCCCAUCAGGAGUUUUGUAGUCAAGAACCUCAUCAGCCCCCAAGCUCCUGACUAAAUCCAUAUUACGAGCCCCACAAGUGGCUGUAAUGUGUGCAUUUGCAAGCUUUAGGAGUUGAACUGCAUAUUGACCUACACCACCUGAAGCAGCGGUAACCAGAACAUUUACUUGUGGGCCGCUUCCAUCAAGUUUGAGACCAGCAAGCUGGGUGAGUGACUGGUGAGCUGCAAGGCCAGCAAUUGGCAAAGCUGCAGCUUCAGGGGCUGAUACCUCUGGAGGCCUUGGAACUGUGGAACCUUCCUUAGCCACAGCAUAUUCAGCUAGUGCACCUCCAUUCUGUGAUUGCAAAAUAGAUUCAUAAAAUAGGAGAUUGGCACAACAAAGGACAUAAAUGAUGCUAGAUAACAUAAAAAACAAGGAUAUGAAUGAAAACGGAGAAAAAGAAUCUAUGGCCUGCUUGUUGUAAAACUUCAACCAACGAACUUGUCGAGUGUAACAUCAAACAUACAUAUGUUCCUCACAUGCAAGUAUGCAACAAACCCAAGAAUAAGAAUGAGUGCUUACACCAAGUACGGCAACAACUUUAUCCCCGACUUUGAAACUCUGGACACCUGAUCCAACUUGUACGAUUUCUCCUGCUACAUCAGUACCUGCUCCACCAAAUGUUCUUUAGCUAAUGAUCGUACAAGAAAGAAAAGUUUCGAUGCUUUAAAUCCACUAAAGCAUUGAAAACUGAUGCAAAAUAAACCAUUGGGCUAAACCAUCUAGAGAAAAGUAAAGAGUACCAGGAAUGUGGGGGAAUUUGCGAGGUAAAAAUGGGCGUGCUACCCCCUCUUGUAUUUUCCAGUCGAUUGGGUUAAUACUAGCUGCCUCUACUUUGAUCAGAACUUCAGCCUUUUUUGGACUGGGAAUCGGAACUUCAGCAUGCUGCAACACCCAUAAAUUUCAUAUUCGUUAUAAGAUUACGUCACCAUCCAUUUUUUUUUCAAGCUUAUUCAAAAAAAAGACAAAUGUUGGAAAUGAUUUUGCAGAAAGAAAAAGAGAGAGAGAGAGAGUUGACUUAGCUGUCACAAUCGUUUAAUUCAUAAUAAUUUGGCUCAAUGUUAAAUCUACGGUACUAAUUUAAUAAACUUGAUUAAGGACUAAACAAAACAAAAAUUUAAUUAAAUCUCCAUCUUAUGCAUGAAAAAAAACUAGAAAUUUCUUUUUAUCCUUACUUUUUAACUCGAAACAACACUGCUGAGGAAAUAAAAACAUAAACAGCAAGAAUAUUACCUUGAGAUCAGCAACUCCUCCGUUAUAUUUACUGUAUUGAACAGCACGCAUCAGAUUGUUGGCCAUUUUCUUUCUUUUUCUAAGAGAAUAAAAACCGAAAGCUCCUUUUUAAAGUUUGUGGGAAGGCAAAAAAACUCAAGAUUAGAAUGUGAGACGGAGAAGGAGGGAAGGAUUGGAUGGAAUAUUUUGGUGUCAGAUACUUUGAAUUUAUAGUAAAGUAAUGCAGACAUGGAAUGGCUCCUUCCGAUCAAAGCGAGAUCAUUGAAUGGGUAUAGGUGUGAACUGUGAAACCGAUGUGAUGUGAUGUUCUAGAAGCAUUAGAGUUUUUUUAUUAUUCUUUUAAAGUCAAAGUCAUAAUUUUUUUAUUAAAUUGAUUGGAGAAUGUGUAUACUGUAUGGAAGUUUCCAUAAUAUGUUUGUUGAAUGGAAAUGCUUUUUCAUUUUGCUUAAACAUUUAACACAGCCUGAAAACAAUUAAUUUACGAAAAUAAAAUAUGAGAUUUUAAAAUAAUUAAUUGGUUUUUAUUUAAAAUAUUAUAUUAUAUUAAUUAUAUAAGUUAAAUAAUAAUUAUAUAUAUUUAUAUUAAUUCAUUAAAAUUAAAUUCAUUAUUUAAAACUUAAUUUUUAUUUUACCCAACUAAAUAAUUCAAUUUAAAAUUUAAAAAUUUAAAAAUUAAAUUAAAUUAAAUUAAAUAUUUAUUGUUUUUGUUUUUGUUUUUGUUUUUUAAUAUAAAUAUUUUUAAUAUGGUAGAAAACUUUUAUUUUAAUAUAAUUAUUUUUUUUACAUUCAAAAUUGUUGCAUAAUUAAAAACUUAAAACAAAAAAAUUCUCCAAGCCGUUUGCUUCUUAUAUUUUGUUUUGCCUUGUUGUGGUGUCAACAUCCGAACUGGUUAUCGCCUACAUUUUUAUCCCUUCCAUCAACCAUUUCUUUCUUUCUUUUUCUCAUUCACUCCACAUGUUUUCUCGCUUUUCAGUUUGUAGAUUUACUUUGUGGCUAUAUUUGAUGUUUGUCAUUUGUUAAAACUUCAUCGGCCACAAGUAGUUUUUCUAGAAAAAUAGAUGGCUCUUUGUCAGCUUCUUAAACUGUUUCUAUUUUGAUCUAUUUUUGUUUUUAGAGUAUUUUAGAAUAAUAAAUGAUUUCACAAGUCGAUUUAGACCUGUGUUGUCUUAAGGUUUUUUUUUAUUGUUUAGUAAGUCAUCAGUUUUAGAAGUUUUUGUUUGCUCUUAUAGCACAUUUUUUAGUCUUUCUUAUGCAUGUAAUAUUCCUUUUGCAAGUGAUUUUAAGGAUGAUUCUGUUACUCUCCUUUCUAGUUUGACGAAUGCUUGAUUCUUCUAUCGAUUUUUGCUCACCACAUUAGACCAUCCGAGGCUGAUUUUUUUAUCAUAUUAAGUGCUUGCAAUCACUUCAAAACUGUCAUGCUUGAGUUGUAACAAAGUCAAUUGCAACGUGUCAUAAUGUUCUAUUGAUGUUAAGGCUAAAGCCUUUAUUGUGUUUAUGGAGCUUGUCCUUCAUCAUCUACGACGAAUGUUAUUAUUUUUUUAUUGAAUGAAUUAAUAAAUUUAUCUUAUAUGAUUUUUUACUUAAAAAAUAUUUUUAAAAUAAAAAAUAAUCUAAAAAUUUAGAUAUGAACGAACAGAAUCAACUCAUGAACACCUCCGUAACGAAAACGAAAAAGAAAACAAGUUGGAAGUUGCCAAAUUAUAAAAUUAAAAAGGAAUGGCGGCCAGAGAUGGAAUGGUAGAUAUUAAUUAUAUUUGGAACCCAAUUUAAACACGUGAUAAAGAAUGGAAUCCAAUUGUUUAUGUAAAAAUGAAAAAGCAUUUUCAUUCAACAAAUAUAGUAUCGAAACUUUGACAUAAAAAAAAAUUCAACUGCUUCUAGAGCAUCAGAUUCGGUUUCGCAAUUCACACCUACACACGCAUUACAAUCGGGAACACCCAUUCCAUGUCUGGAUUGCUUUACUAUAAAUUCGAACUAUCAAACGCCAACAUACAUCAUCCCACAAUCCUAUCCAAUCCUUCCCUCCUUCACUUUCUCUGAUCUUCUUUCUUUGCCUUCGCCACAAACUUGCAAAAAGAGCUUCGCUUUUCAUUUUUUUCUUACGAAAAACAAAAAAAGAAAUGGCUAAUAAUUUGAUGCGGGCCGUUCAAUACAGUAAAUAUGGCGGAGGAGCCGAUGAUUUGAAGGUGAAUAAUUUGAGUUUGUUUCCAUGUUCUUGCAACCUUAACUUUUACAGUUUGCUUCUCUCCAUUUUUUAUGAACUUGAAAAAAGAAAUUGUUGGUCACCUGAUUUCAUAACGAGUGUGAACUUUGUGGGUGUUGCAGCAUGUUGAAGUUCUGAUUCCCAGUGCAAAAAAGGAUGAAGUUCUGAUCAAAUUAGAGGCAGCUAGUAUUAACCCAAUCGACUGGAAAAUACAGGAAGGGGUAGCCCGCCCAUUUUUACCUCGCAAAUUCCCCCACAUUCCUGGUACUUUUUACUUUUCCCAUGCCUGUUUCAGUCGCAUGCAUUGCAUUCUGAGCUUCACUUGUUUAGUAUCAUCUGGGUGGUUCAGCCCAAUAAUCUGAUUUGCAUCAGUUUUCAUUUGUGGAUUUAAAGCAUCCAAGCUUUUCUUCUUCUUCUUCUUCUUCUUCUUCUUUCUUUUUUUUAAAUUUUGAUUGCUUGUGUUCAAUCAUUGGCUAAACAACAUUUGGUGGAGCAGGCACCGAUGUAGCUGGAGAAAUCGUACAAGUUGGAUCAGGAGUCCAAAGUUUCAAAGUUGGGGAUAAAGUUGUUGCCGUACUUGGUGUAAGUACUCAUUCUUCUUGGGUUUGAUGCGUACUUGCAUGUAGGAACAUAUGUAUGUUUGAUGUUACACUGGACAAUUGGUUCAAGCUAUCCAACAACCAGGCUAUAGAUUUUUCCUCUUAUUCAUGUCCUUGUUUUUAUGUCUUUUGUCAUGCCAAUCUCUUAUUACAUAAAUCUAUUUUGCAAUCGCAGAAUGGAGGUGCACUAGCUGAAUAUGCUGUGGCUAAGGAAGGUUCCACAGUUCCAAGGCCUCCUGAAGUAUCAGCCCCUGAAGCUGCAGCUUUGCCGAUUGCUGGCCUCGCAGCUCACCAGUCACUCACCCAGCUUGCUGGGCUCAAACUCGAUGGAACCGGUCCGCAAGUAAAUGUCCUUGUUACCGCUGCUUCAGGUGGUGUAGGUCAAUAUGCGGUUCAACUCGCAAAGCUUGCAAAUGCACAUGUGACAGCCACUUGUGGGGCUCGUAAUAUGGAUUUAGUCAGGAGCUUGGGGGCUGAUGAGGUUCUUGACUACAAAACUCCUGAUGGGGUGGCUCUCAGGAGCCCUUCUGGUCGCAAAUACGAUGUAAUCAUCCACUGCGCACACAACAUUCCUUGGUCUGCCUUUGAGGCUAACUUGACUUCAAAAGGAAAGGUAGUAAAUACCACUCCUGGUUUCUGUACUGUGAUGAGUGCUGCUGCGAAAACGAUUAAAUGCUCGAAGAAGCAACUCAUACCCUUGUUUACCUCACCUAAGAAAGAGAACCUUGAUUUUCUUGUUAAUUUGGUGAAAGCAAGAAAGCUUAAGCCAAUAAUCGAUUCAAAGCAUCCUCUAAGUAAGGCUGAAGUGGCUUGGGCCAAGAGCAUUGAUGGCCAUGCCACUGGCAAGAUUCUUGUGGAGCCCUAGUUUAUGAAGAUUAGUUGAUGCAUACACUAAUUUUAUAAUUUUUCAGUGAGUUGGGUUGCUUAUGAGCCAUCUGUAUAUGUUGGUAUGUGAGGAGUUUUUUUUCAACUAUGUUGUGUGUGAUGUAAUGUUAUUGAGCAUUGUGUCUUGUUAUGAAAUUUAUUUAUUUAUUUUUUGUUUUAUGUAAUUUGAAUUAAAGAUGAUACUAUGGAUAAUUAGACACUUUGUUUAUGAAGUAAUGUUUUAUGAUUAAUGUUUAAAUAAUUACACCAAUAGCAACAGUUUCAUACAAUUCUUUUUUUAAAGAUUAUUAUCAGUGCAAAGCAAAAUUUUAUGAGCAAAGUUAAGAUAAUAACACGUAUGAUUUUACUUAUUUUUAAAUAUAAUUCAAGCCAAACUUAAAUUGUUGAUUUUUUUUUCUUUCCAUUAGCAAUAUAUAUGAUAAUAAUCUAUAUCUUUAUUCUCAAAAUGUUUUUAUUUAAUUUUAAUUUUAAAUUAUCUUAUUGCUCACAUAUUUUAAGGUUUAAAUGGAUAAUUUAGUCUAUCCUUAACACUUUUUUUACUGAUGAGGUCAAGUGUAUUUUUGUGUAAAAGUUUUUAAUUAAAUUUAUUGAGGUAAGUAUGUGAGCAGUGACAUAUGUAUGCAGUGCUAUAUGCACCAAGACAGACAAUAUAUCUUUCAUUUUUUGUGUUAGCAAUUUUUUGGAACAAAAUCAUUGGGUUAUAAGUCUUGCUAAUAUUGUGGAAGUAUGAUAUUCAAUUAACGAGAAAUGAUCCUUUUGAAGCAACAUUACUUGAUAAAUGGAUUGGAUUGAGUAAAGCAAUCGAAUCCCUUGAAAUAAGAAGUUUGGAUUAGUACUAAAUUGAAGACUUAUCUCCAAUGAUUCUACAUUAUCUUGGACUUUAUUAGUAUAUUGUGUAUGCUAUUUUAGUUGUAGUCUUUUAAGGGAAUUGAAUGUAAUUGAACUAGUCUAUUAGUAAGUAUUGAACUCUUAUAUAUUUAAAGAGACUUAUCAAAAUCCAGUUUUUGGACACAACAAUAAUUUGUAAUCUCAAAUGAUAGCGAUAGGAUUUGCAGUCAUUGUGGAAAUUCCAUUUUCCUUACAAUUAAUAUCUUACUCACAAGGGGCAGAAGUUGCAAAAUCUCAUAAUUUACAAUCAAUUCAUUCAAUAUUUCCUUUUUUAGAUGACAAAUUCUCACAUUUAAAUUAUGUGUUAGAGACACUAAUACCUCAUCCCAUCCAUCUAGAAAUCUUAGUUCAAGCCCUUCGCUACUAGGUAAAAGAUGCUUCUUCUUUGCAUUUAUUAUGGUUCUCUCUCUACAAGUAUUGUAAUUUGAAGAGUUUUAUUACUUCAAAGAAAUCUAUUUCGAUUUUGACUCCAAGAUUAUUCUUGUUCCUAUAUAAUUCUCAUACAUGUGAAUGCGAAUCCAUUUUCAUUUAUCUCCGUAAUCAAUCUUCUCAUUUAUGAUCAACAUCUUCUGGAGUCUUUCCAAAGCAUACGACUUUUUGGAUGCAGAUGAUGAUAUCUAUACAGAUGGAUUCGUAUAAUUCUUAUAUAUAAUGUACAAUGAAGUACCACAUGAGUGGAUAUAUAAGAUCCAAAUUUGUCGAACCACUCAUGUUAUAAUCUUCUACAUCAUAGGUCUUCCCGUUUCGUCAUAUGGCUUAAGUAUUUUAUAUUGAAAGUAUUUAGCACUUAUUUCUUCAUUAAAGAACAUUAAUAGUGUAAACAAGUUUAUUGUUUAGUUUAUAACCUCUUGAAAAUUUAGAAGUGAGUGAUAUAAAUUUUUAGGUACAAAAGUAAAGUUGCUAUAUUGAGUGUGAUAGGAUUUAAAUCACUUACUAUAUUGAGAUUAAAAAUAAUGAUUUAUCUCGUUUAAUUAGGCUCCAUGAAUGUAAGAAAAUAAAAUUUCGUAAAUAAUUCAUUUGUGUUUUUCAUUGUUCUUGUCCCAGUGCCUUUUUUAGUGAGCAUUACAACUUGUACUUUCAUUUGGAGAGAUUGUUUUCUUUGCAAUUAUUGAUGGUAGUUUUUAACAGAAUCUAAUUUGCAUUAUUAGGACAUGUUACACUAUCAAGGUCAAAAUUUAUUUUUUCAAGAAUCUUGUACAAUUGUUUGCUGACGAUGAUGUGAUAAUGAAAUCAAAAUCAAAUUAUUUUGUUCCAGCUUUCUCAGUACAUUCUUUUCUAGUUUCCUUUUCAAAUUUACAAUAUUUUUAGGAUGUGUUCGAAAAGUUAUCUAAUAAUUAGAUUUGAAUGUAAUAAUUUGUAAUUAUAUAAAAAAGUAUCAUUAUAGUUGGUAGGUCACAUCGAAUUGGUAUAAUUAGAGAAAUUCAAUUACAUUUUUCAAUUUUUUCAUGGGAGAGAGUGAGAAUUGAAGUAAUUAGGACACUCAAAUUUGAUUUUAAAAAUUGUUUUUAUAUAAGUUAUAAAAAUUAUAUUAUAAGCAUGAACGCUUAUGAAUGUUUGGGAUGAUUACAGCCAAAAUUUUCUUACAUUAUAAAUCUUAAAAAUUAUAUUAUAAAAAUAAUUUGUGUAUUUUAUAAAGUUAGAACAAAAAGUAUAUUAUUUAAAUCUUAAAAAUUUCUAAUGUUGUGUCCAAAAAGUUCAUUAUAAAAAAUAAUUUACAUGUUAUAAAAGUGUUAUAAUAUAUUUAUUUAAAAAGGAAGUUACGGCCAAAUAUGAACUUAACUUAUUUAUGUGUUCAUAUUAUAUAUUAUAAAAAAUAAUAUACUUAUUCAUAAAAAAAAUGUUAAUAGUUUUUUUUAUCAUAACUUAUUUAUAAAAAGAUAAUUUAUGAAGUUAUGACAAAAAAAUUAUCUUAUUUAUAAAAAGUGUUAUGAAAGUUUUGAACAAUUUAUAAGAUCUUUUAUAUAAAGGUUAUUUAUAUUUUUUAUUUAUAUUAUAAAAAUGGAUAUAACGUAGCAUUAGUUUUUCUCCAAAUUAAGUUCAUAUAAGUUUUAUAAUUAAAGCUAUAAAUAAUUUGGAUUGUGAACUCAAUUAUUUAUAAGGUUGAUGCUAAUUAUACAAAUAGAAAAUUAUUUAUUGCACCAUAUUGUUGUUGGGAUCUAGUGCCCUUAGUGUAGUGAUUUCAUAUCUAUAUGUAUUUGUAAUUUUCAAAUAAAUUGGUUUAAUAAAAUAUUCGUCAAUAUCAUUAAUAUCUUCAUAUAUUGCCCUCAACGGCUUUUGCACGCAAAGAAAAAUGAAAGCAAAUAUUGGUUCAUUAAUUAUCUAACAUUUAACUAAUACUAAGUAAUAUUAUGUGAUCGGAUUGUAUACGGAAAGACAAUUUAUAUUAGUGGAUAAUCUAAACACGUCCUUAUCCUAGUUAGAAUUGAGUAAAUCAGUUGAAAGACUAAUAUGUCGUCUAUCAAGUCAAAUUGGGGAGAUACUUUAUCUUGGGUAUCGAAACAUGACCACCCCUAACACUGAUAGCACUGUACUCCUUUUUUUUUUUCUCUAACUCCUCGUUGAUAGCAAAUUCCUGUUAAAGCGCAUAAAUUUAAAAACUUUUUCAAAGCAAAAUAAGAAGAAGAAAAAAUACUAAUGAAAUGUCACAAUACUUUUUUUAUACAUGUCAAAAUGAUGGAAAAGAAAAAUUAUCUUUUACAUAUCCACCCAGUUUAGCAACUUUUGGAGAAAUGAUACAAAUAUAUAUAUAUAUAUGCACACCUGAAAUUUUAUUUUCUGAUGAUUUGUCUACUGAUUGGAGUUUUAUCAAUGAACUAAAAAGAUAAUGAAUCUUUUAACCUGAGCAUACUUGAAAAAAGGACUCGUUUCUCUAAUAAUGAAACUAAAAGAGAUAAACUUGAAUAAUUAAUUAACUUAUUUAAGUCUCAAAUUUAUUAUUUUAGAGAGUAUUUAAAUAUUUAAAUUUCUUUAUAAUUUUUUAAUUUUUUUAAAAAUAUAAAUUUCGAAAUUUUUAUAAAUAUUUUGAAUUUUAUUUUUGUAUUUUUUGUUGAGAGAGAUUAAUUUGCUCAUUUUUUAAAUUGAUAGGGACCAAAGGGGUAUUUACACCAAUCUAUUAUUCAAAUUGUAAAAUUCAACUCUACUCGAAUUUGAAACUUGAAUUAUUUAUUUAAAUUAACUCAAAAAAUUUAAAUAACUCUAAUAAUUUGAUUUGAUUAAGUUAAAAUUAAAAUUAAAAUUUUUUAUUUUUAUUUUUCGAAUAGAAUAAGAUUUGGUGAUGAAAAUCUAAUACAGCAAACAGCGGUGGGAAUGGACGGAUCAAAGCAUCCGACUUAAAAUAACUUAAAAAUGGUUUAUUUCCAUUUGAGGCCAAGGCAUAAUUACCAUUUAGAUCUCACUCCAAUUAUUUCUUCAUUCCAUGCUUCUUUAAUAAUUUAGUCCUUGUAUAUUUAUAUAAUAACUUAUCAAUCUAAUUAAUAAUUAAUUCUAUUCAAUUAAUUACUAAAUAAUUUUAUUUCUAAUUUAAUUACUAAUAUUUCUAUUUUCUAAUUCUUUACUCGCUUUGUAAUUGUUCGAUAAAAAUCUUUAGACAAUCCAGUUUAACAAAUUCGAAUCUUGAAAUCGUCUUUUCCGACACUAAUUAAAGUCAGUUGUUACAUACUCUUCGCAUUAGCGGGAUUUUUAUUUAUUUUAAAUUAUAAAAAUCAAUAUAAUUAUAUUUUAUUAAUUAUAGAAGUUAAAUAUAAUAUUUUUUUUAAGAUCAAGCGUGGAUCUUAUGAGUUAGUUAAAUAUUUUUAAAUUCAUAAUUCAUGCAUAUAUGAGUAGUAACUCAUUUAAAAUUAUUAUUCAAAAUAAAAUAAAAAAAAUCAGAUCCCUAAAUUGAGUUGUAAGUAAAGGUGCAGAUCAAUCCCUUUAAAUAUAUUAUUUAACAUUAAAAUAAAAAGUAAUAUAUAUUUUUUAGUGCAAUCACUUAUAUUUGAAACCUUACAUUUUAGUUACUUAUGUUAUCGUUUUGUUACGAAGUUGUCACUCUAUCAUUAAACUCUGCUAUCUCCCUAACGGCAGUCCAAAUGGGUUUUAAAUGUCAACUUAGAUGUCCUACGUGACAGUCUAAAUGAAAAUCCAUUUAAAAUCCAAGUUGGCAUUUAAAACCUAUUUGGACUGCAAUAUAGGACCGCCGUUAGAGAGAUAACAGAGCUUAACAGUAGAAUGACCACUUUGUAACAAAACGAUAACAUAGGUGACCAAAGCAUAACAUUUCAAACAUAAGUGACUAAAAUGUAAUUUAACGCAAAUAAAAGGGACUAUUUUUAUAAAUUACCAUAAAAUAAUUUUUUGUUAAGUGGGUCAAAGAUGUAUACCGAAUCAAUUUGCAAGUUGUCUUGCAUACCGUCAUCUUUGAAUACAAAUUCUGAAAAAUAAGAAACUAAAAAUAUAUCUUUUUUAGAUCGAAUCGUAUAUGAAUUUUAAAUUCUUUUAAAAUGUAACAUUUAAAAUAUUUAAAAUAUUUAAAUAAUAUAAAAUAAAACAUUUUAUUAGAAUAAAAAAAAGAGAGAGAAACCCUUGCUAUGUUGAAAUGUAUAGAUAUAGAUUUCUUUUAUAUAAAUUAAUUAUGAGUAUUUUUUUCCCUCUAAUUAAAAAAAUUAUUUUAACUUAAUUUUUUAUUUUUUUUAGUUCUUAAAUUUAUAUUUUUUUAUUAAAUUACCUCAAAAUAGAUGUAAAAAUUAAUGUAUAUAUAUGUGGUUAACAUGUAAGCAUUUAAAUAAUUUUAAAAAUUUAAAAAUUAUUUUUAAAUAUUUUUAAAUUUAAAAAAUUAAUUUAAUAUUGAUAUAUCAUCCAUGUAUAUACCACAUCAACAAAGUUAACAAAGGUUAACAUUUUUAUUCAUUUUGAGGUGAUUUGACAAAUAAUGCAAGUUUAAUGGUUAAAAAAACUAAAAAAUUAAAUAAAGGACUAAAAUAACUUUUUUGUAAAGAUAGAGUACCAAAAAGGUCAUUAUACUUUUUUUUUAUGUGUAACAGUAUAGAUAUAGAUUUUCUAUUUGCAGGUGUUAGCCUCUGUUGAAGUGUAGGCAUGUGUGUGAGAGGAGCAAAUCUGGUAAGUAAGGUCAAAGUAAAAAAUGUAGGCAUGUGAUAGAUCAGGAAAAAUAAAUAUAUGGCAUAUAAAACAAAUAUGAACUGUUAAUGCAACCGCAUAUAAGUCAAGUUUUAUUUUAGGUUAAAAUAUACCAAGUUUUUGUACUCUUCACAAAUUUAAAAUUUAAUUUUUUUUUAAGAAUUUAGUCACUUUAUGUUUCAGAUUUCAAAAUUCAAGUCAAUUCUCAACUUUAUUAAUUUUUUUGUUAAAUUUAAAAAUACUUAUUAAAAAUAUAGAAAUUUAUUUAAAUUUUAUUAAAAAUUAUAAGAAAUUACAAAAAAAAGUAUUGUAAAUUAUUAAAAAUAUAUAAAAUUACAACAAUUUUUUAGUAUUUUAAAAUUAUUAAAAAAAUUAUUUUUUUGGAUUUUUUUUAAUUUUAAAACAUUUGCUCACGUGGCAUUUUAUCAUGUUAGCAAAAGUUACACGUCCUACCUGCUUUAUUAGUCUUGUCAUCACUUAAUGAUAUAGAUGGAUUAAAUUUUAAAAAAAUGAUCAGUUUGUUCUUUAAUCUAACAUAUAGGAGUUAAUUUGCCCAUUUUUUAAUAGAGAGGAAAAAUGCAAUCUAACUCUUAGUAUAAGGAUUUCCAUAAUAGUUUUACCAUUUAUCCAACCACAUAAAUUACAACUAAACUAAAUGUGAGCAGAAUCCAAUUCGACUUGAAAAAACAACAAAAAAAGUCAAAUUUUAAAUUAAGUAGUUCAAAUAAUUCGAUCUACUCAAGUUAUUUGGGCCAACUCGAAUAAGAAAACUGAAUAAUUCAAUUUAGGUCAAAUAUAAAUUACAAAACUCAAAUUAUCCGAAAACGAAAAACCAAAACAAUGUGGUUUUAGUAAAUUUAUAUUUUAACUUUCCCAAAGUUAAAACCUUCGAUGCUUUGCCCAUACACUUCCUUUUCACACUUUCUCUUUUCCUACCUUCAAAAUUUAACGACACGUUUGGUUCAAUGAAAUGAAAUAGGCUUGUAAUAGAAUAGUCAUUAUGUGGAAAUAGAAUAAGGUUUAAUGGAAUUAAAUAGGUAUAAUAGUGGUGUGGUUUGAUUGGAGUGGAAUGAGUAUUGUAAUAGUACUCGUGUUUGGUUGAGAAGAAUAAAUAUGUAAUAGCAAAAAAAAAAAAAACUCAAACGAUCAAUAUGCCCUUUAAUAUUUUAAUGUAUUUUUCACAUUAAUUUAAUAUUAAAGAAUAAUAUAUUCUAUCAAAACAAUAAUAAUUUAAUAUAAAAUGUUUAAAAAAAUAUUUUAUAUUAAAUUAUAUUAAAAGAUUUUUAAUUUUCUCCACUUUCUUCAUCUUCGUUGGUCCCCUUUCUCUCCCCAAAUUCAUCUUCAUCUUCCUUCUCCUACUUUUUACUUUGAACUUCAUCAAUCCUUUGUUCAAAAAGAAUCUCUAUUCAAAAAAAUUUAUUUGAUAUAUCAAAAUAAUUUAUCAAAUAAAGCUUAGUACAACAAUAACCUAGAUCUACAAAGCUUCUGUAUCAAAAUUUCUCUUUCUUUCUUUUUUUUUGUUUAUUUUGUUUACUAGUAUUGUUAAAUAGUGUAACUAUCAAAAUAAAAAUAUUGUUAAAGAAGUAGUACCAACUUAAUUCAACCAUCAUCUCAGCAUCUAAAUAACAUAACAAACCAUGGUCGACUUUUAAGAGUCCAAUUACAGUAGAAAACUCAUUUACACACAUAGAAAAAGUGUCAAUAUUAGUAUGACAUACUUCCAUGUCAUUAUUACAUCCUGCAAUUACAUGCAAAAAGGUGGCAACCUACAAUUACAUACAAAAAGUUAUAUUAGUUCACCACCACAUCCAUUUACACAUACACAAAGUGACAACCCUUUAUGGUAUAGAAAAAGUUAUAUUCAUCCACCACCACAACCGCAUCUUUAAUGGGUAGAAAUAAAUUUUCUCGUCCAUGUUAAUUGCAUAGAAGGUGGUAAACUUAGGAAAAUGAGCAUGUACAUUGGAUGAUCACGAAUUUUGAUCAAUGCAUCAAUUCACUCAUCAUAUGUUAAACUUUUAUUUCACCUAAAGCCACGUGGAAAGUUUGUACCUUUUCUUAACUGACCAUUUCUGACUUCUCUUGAAUGAGCACUCCAGAGGCAAUUCUCCUACUUAAUUGAUGGUCAAUUGUUUUUAUAUUAUCCCCCAAUAACGUGGCAACAUUGAUAAGUACAGUAAAAGAAUUUGGUUCACUAGCCUCAGAACUUUUUUCUUCUUCUUUGGAAAUGUAGGUUCAACUUUAUUUGGAUUAGAUUGUUACAAUUGUGUAGCCAAGACAUUCAUCUCAUCUAAGGAAGUAUCAACUUCACAUUCAUUGUCAUUACUUCCUUCUUCAGGAUUCCUUUCAUUGGCAACAUUCUUAGCACGUAAUUCUUUAAAAAUAUCACUAGCUGUUUGAGCAUCUUUUCUUGUGGCUCAAUCUUUUGUGUAUAUGGAAGUAAGUUGCUCAUAAUAAGGGAAACUUCGAGUUUUGAGUUGUGCGCCUUUUUUUAUAACUCUAUAAAAAAAUUUCAUAACCAUUAUAUACUAUAUGUGUUAGAAGUUGUGUGACCCAAAUUCCUAUUAAAAAUAAAAUACAAGUGGCAAGAUAGGGGGAUAUACGAGGGCGAAGGCCGAGGACCGAAUAAGGAGUUUUAACCUUACUGCAUUACUUUUAUUUGAUUUUGAUUAGAAUAUGGUUUACAAACUUAUAAAUAAAUGUAGUAUAUACUCCUCUUGGAUCAUUCGAAUUCGACAUAGUAACUUUUUUCUCCUCUGCUCGAGUUUUUUCCCCAAAAGGGUUUCAUGUAAAAUUUUGUGUGUUCUAUUUUCUCUCUUUCUUCGCAAUUCAUUGUCAUUAUAGAUGUUUUAUAUUCACAAAUUGGUAUAAAAGCUUUCCGGGUUACUUGUUUUGAUCACGAAAAUCACGUCAUUGAAGUAUGAAAUUUCGUUGUUGGAUCGCAACACUAGAUUCGCAUUGUGACAGAUAAAGAUGCAGACAGUUCGUAUACAGAUGGAUUUGGAGGAUGCCUUAUUAAGGAUAGAUAAGAUGCCUUUGAUGUUGACGAAAGAAGAAAAGAAAUGUAAAGAUCGAAAGGCUUUGACACAAUUAUAUUUGCACUUGUCGGACGAAAUUCUACAGGAUGUGAUGAAAGAGAAGAAUACUGCUGCAUUAUGGACAAAACUGUAGCAACUAUGCAUGUUGAAACCCUGACUAGUAAGUUACAUAUGAAGUAGCAUCUUUAUACUCAUCGUUUGAAGGAAGGUGCAUCUGUGCACAAACACUUAAUUGUGUUUAAAGAAAUUCUUUCAGAUUAAAGGCCAUGGAGGUUCAGUAUGAUAAAUAAGAUCUAGGGUUGAUUCUACUUUGUUCAUUGCCCUGUCUUAUUCAACCUUUAGAGACAUGAUUUUGUAUAGUUGUAAAUCUCUCACAGUUGACGAGGUCGAUUCUUAUUUAACCUCGUAUAACAACAUGAAACAUCUUAUUGUUAGAUCCGACUCUCAAGAAGAGGGUCUCACUGUUCGUGGAAAACAAGAACGAAAUACUAAUGAUGAUCGUAGGAGGACAAAAGAUUGAAAUCCUCGUAAUAAAUCUAAGGGUAGAUCGAGAUCUUCAAGCAGAGGUAAAACCUAUAACUUAUGCAAGAAGAAAUGACACAUUAAAUCUAAGUGUUAUAAGUUACAAAACAAAAUAAAAAAGGAGGCUGCGAAUCAAAAAAGAAAACAACUAGAAAAAUCAGUUGAAGUUGAUGUUGUAGAAAACUAUAGCGAUGGUGAACUCCUAGUUGCUUCUGUGAACAAUUCUAAAGUGGGUGAGGAGCGGAUUAUUGACUCUGGCUGCACCUUUCAUAUGAGUCCUAAUUAGGAUUGGUUUACAACUUAUAAAACAGUGUCUAAAUGUGUUAUUUUGAUGGGAAAUAAUGCUUUAUGUAAAAUCGCUGGUGGUGGCACAAUCAAAAUAAAAAUGUUUGAUGGAAUCGUUAGAGCACCUAGUAGUGUGCAACAUAUACCAGAAUUGAAGAUAAAUUUGAUUUUAUUGAGUACUCUUGAUUCAAAAGAAAACAAAUACACAGCUGAAAUUGGAGUUCUGAAGAUUAGCAAUGAUUACCUUGUUGUCAUUAAAGGGCAGACAAAAACUGCCAAGUUAUAUAUUUUUUAGGGUCUACUGUUAUUGUUGAUGCAACCGUCACUUCCUCUUCCUUGUCAGAUGAUGAUGUUACUAGACUUUGGCAUAUGCAUCUAGGGCAUUUAGAAAAAGACCCCACAUGAGGUAUGGUCUAGUAAUAUUGCUGAUUAUUCUGAUUUAAAAAUUUUUGGGUGUCUUGCGUAUACUCAUGUUGAUAAUGGAAAAUUAGAACCGACAUCUAUUAAAUGUGUUUUUCUUGGUUAUAAGGCUAGUGUAAAAGGGUAUAAGUUAUGGUGUCCUGAAAAUAAAAAAUUUUUUGAUUAAUAGAUAUGUUAUUUUUUAUGAAACUGUUAUGCUGCCUAAUUUAUCUCUUAAAGACUCUUCAAAUAAAGAAUAUCAAAAGUAGGUGGAGCUUCAGAUUGAUCCAGUAUCUAUAACAGAGUCGACCCAUUAAGUUAGUACAGAAAUUCAGAACAGAGUCGCUUCUUCACCACAAUAUUCUAUUACCAAAAACAGAACUAAAAGAGAAAUUGAACCUUCAAAGAGGUAUGCCAAGGCUGAUCUAAUUGAUUAUGCUUUAAAUGUGACUGAAGAUAUAAAUAGAAAUCAAUAGCCAUCUACUUAUUUUGAGGCAGUUAGCUGUGAGGACUAAAAAAAGUAAAUGUUUAGCAUACAAGAAGAGAUGAAAUCACUUCACAAGAAUAGAACAUAGGAUCUUGUAAAGCUUCUUAAAGGUAAGAAGGUUAUUCAUUGUAAAUGAGUGCUUAAGAGGAAAGAAUGGACUCUAAGAGUUGAAGAACCCAGAUAUAAAGCAAUACUUGUUGCAAAGGGUUAUAAUCAGAUUCUAAGUGUGGACUUCACAAAUGUGUUUUCUCCAAUUGUAAAGUACAGUUUGAUUCAAGCCUUGCUUGAUAUUAUGGUCAUAAAUGAUUUGAAGCUCAAACAGCCAGGUGUAAAAAUGAUGUACUUGUAUGGAGAACUUGAGGAGGACACUUACAUGCAACAACAAGGGAGGUUUACAAUCUAAAAAAAAUAAGACUAUGUUUGAUUGUCGAAAAAGUCCAUUUAUGGCUUGAAAUAGUCACUAAGGCAGUGGUACAACAGGUUUGAUUCUUUUAUAUCUACUCAUGAUUUCAAAAGAAGUAGCUUUGUGUAACACUCGGAAUUUUGGGCCUAGAAGUUCUGGGUUUUGAUUGUAGUGACAGUGAGAAGGUUGCACACAUGAGUUAAGUUAUGCAUUUUAGUGUCAGAAUGGGCCUGUUGGUCCAGUGGUUGAGUGAAUGUUAGUGUACUUUGAGGUUCUGGGUUCGAGUCUUACGUGCGCUCUCUGGAUGAUUUUUUUUAAGUUUUUAUUCUGCUACUUAUUUUUAUUUCAUUUUAUUUGAUAGUAAAUUAUUUUAUGAUUUUAUUAUCUUUAUUUUUAUUUUUGGUCUCUUUUUGAACAUUCUUUUUUUUUUCUUUUCGAGGGUUUUCUCUGGCUUUUCUUUUGGGAUUGUUGUGAUUGCUUGGGGAAAGUUUCGUCUGUGGCCACUAGAAUUACGCUUCUCCGUCAUCAUCUCCGAUCGCAUAGCAGGUGUGGGAUUAGAAAGCUUGUCUUCUCAUUAUCGUUUUUACAAAAUUCCUGUUUCGAUAUAUUUUGUUUAUGUGUUAGCCCAAAGAUUUUGGGUUCUAGAAAUUGGAAGUAAGGAGAAACUGCCACUUUCUGAUAUAUUUUUAUAGGGAAAAGAUUAGGGAUGGCCCUAAUGGCUUAGUUGGUGGUUUCAAGCUAUUUUGGAGUAGUUUCAUGACCUCCCUAGUGACCACACCGGUGCGUACCAUGGCACACAACUGUGUGGAUUUGGGAACUAGGGUUUUCGGGUUAAAUUGAGUGUCACAUGACCUGGCCACAUGGCCAUGUGACUAAUUUGGGGAUUUUGUCGAAAUUCACACGGUCGUAUCCCAUAGGCACAUGGACGUAUGAGUUUGGGGAAAAUAGAGAUUCAAAGUAUUGGGGUCACACAGCCGUGUGACUAAUUUGGGGAUUAAGGAUCCCAAACGGGCGUGUGUUUUGGAACACACGACCGUGUCUAAAGGCAUACAAGUAUGUGAGACCUUUACACGACCGUGUCUACCCUGUACCUUAUUUUAGCAAAUUUGGAUAGUGAGUUGCACGGCUUGUUCACACGGCUAUGUCUCUGUUUCACAUAGGUGUGUGCCUCUGUCACACGGGCGUUUGAACCCUCACACGGCCUAGAUUGCUCCACACGGCCUAAGCACACGGACGUGUGGUCUUAUCUCUCCAAAUAAUGAUUUUAAGUCAAGUUUAAAUGUAAUCGUAACUCUGUGUGUUCCAACCUUCGACUGAGCUUUACUAAGGGUAAUUAUGACUCUAAUCUGGGCUUGAUAUGUGUGUGUUAUUUGUGAUUGAUUAUGCGAUAAGCUUGAUACUGAACUCGAUUUAUGAGUGUGUAAAUGUCUGAUUUUGUAACUGAUUGAUUGGAUGUGAGUGUCUGCUUCUGGUUAAUUGCCUGAAACUGGUAUUCUGAUCCUGUACAUUUAUUUGUAUACAUACACAUGCAUAUACUAUUUUUGGGUGGGGCUUUGAAGAGAAGAAAGAUUGACUGAACUGGUAACUAAUCUGUUGGUUACUGAUAGCCCUAUUUCCUAGAGGGACGUGGACAGUCCCAAUACCUUGAGGUCAUAGACUUUACUGAUAACGGUAUAGCGGAUUACAGCAUUACACUGUACCGCAUAUAUGUUAGCUACACUACGUACCAUUUACUGAAUUGGCAAUUUUAUUGCAACCUAAUGGUAAAGUAGAUUACCGCAUCACACUGUGCAGCAUGUACGUUAGCUACGCUAUGUACCACUAUCUGAUCAGGCAGUUUAUACUACCUGUCUGUACCGCGGUUCACGGUAUUGCACAGUACAGCUUAUACGCUAGCUUUGUUGCGUAAUAUAUGUGACUGGCAGUUUAUCUGCAUGCUGUUAGCCCUAAUACCCAGAUGGUCGUGAGCAGUCCUAAUUCCCUGAUGGUCGAGGACAAUGUUGAUCUCCAUCAUUACCGGGCAACCCGGGAUGACAUCAUAUGGAGUGUAGGGUUGGAUGGGCUUUUCGAUGUCCUAUAUGGAGUGAUUAGUUGGAUGAGCUUAAUAGCUCUAUUGAGGAGUAAUGGAGGACGGAGAGGUGUGUUGGCUGGAUGGGUGGGUUUUCUUUAACUCACCUGCAUUUAUAUCCAUCUUAUUGACUGUCUUGUGAGUGCGAUUGUUUGGUUGUACACUUCGACUAAAAAGUAUUUGUACUUGUGUGAAUUCAGUAGACUCUGAACUGUAACUAACUGACUGUUUGAGAAUUAUCAUUACUGUGACUGAAUGGCAUUUGUGAUUGUGUGUUCUAAGUGUGUUAUUAAUACGCACGAAACAUUGUUAUCUGCCGGUACAUUUGAUACGAAUGUACUGAUUGGUUCUGUACAACUUUGUAAGUAUGUUUGUAACACCCUGAAUUUUGGGCCUUGAGUUUGGGAUCGGUUAGAAGGCGGCUAAAAUAAAUGAAAUGUGUUUAAAUAUUUUAUAAUUGCAUGUUUAGUCUAAUUGUUAAGUGAUUUAAGAAGGGUUGGUAGUGUGGGAAAAAGUCCUGGGUUUGAUCAGGACUUUAGCAAAAUUUUGCAUUUUUUUCAAAAAAAGGCCCUGAGCAUUAGGUGAAAAGCUUAUUAAUAAGGCUUGGUAAAAUUUGACACAGGGAAACGCUUGGCCUAGUGGCAAGAGGCGUUGGUAGCAAGCUGGAUGUCUAGGGUUCAAGUCCUGGCCUUGGUGAAAAUUUUUAUUGAGCACAUGAGUAGUAGGGGAACUAGCGUUGAGACCUUAUAAAUGUGUUUGGUGGAAAUUCGACACAAAGGAUGCGCUUGGCCCAGUGUUGUUAUGGCGUUGGGAGUAAGGAGAGGUGCUGGGUUCAAGUCGCAGCAUGAGCAGGAGUUGUGGUUUUUUUUUUAAGACAACUUGGAGGUCGACAGAAAGACUUUAUAAAUAAUUGGGGAGGAAGAACAACACAAAUAAGGUAGGUGUCAUAGUGGCAAGGGACGUAUAGCGCAGCCAAAAGAUUAGGGGUUCGAAUCUGAAUAGUAGCAAAUAUUUUUAGGAUAAUCUGGUUGCGGGUUAAUAGGCCUUAAAAAAAGUUAGGGAUGGAAUAUGGCACAAGAGCGCCUGUGAUGCAGUGGCGAGAAGCAUGCUAUAGAUAUGAGAGGUUGCAGGUUCGAAUCCUAAGAUUGGCAAAGUUUAAAUUUUUAUUCUUUAAGAGAAUUGGGGCUUAGGCACGUAAGCCUUAUAGUUAAUUGUGACCGAAUGUUUGUACAAGACAGGUAACGGUGCAGUGGCCAGCAGCGUGUUGGGAAGUUGGAGGAUAGGUGUUCGAGUUGUCGUGUUGGGAAGUUGGAGGAUAGGAGUACGAGUUGUUCCAUGUGCAAAAAAGGGAUUUAAUUUUGCUACUUAAUGCAGGGAAGGAUGGCCAAUCAGUGGAAGCAAUUUGAAUGCAAUUCAAAUUAGAAUUUUUGGCUAAAAUCAAGGAGAUAAGGAUGAUGAUUAAGUUUGGAUAUGAUGAUGAUGAAAAUUGGAGAAAUUGAAGGGAAUUUUUAACUAGUUUAAGAUGAUUGGGGAGUGUAGGUUUGUAUUUUUAUUUAUUUAUUUAUUUAUUUUUUCUUUUAGAAUAUAUAUGUGUAUCGUAUGAGCAAGUAAGGGCAUUUGUUGUUUUUGUGUGCUUCAGUCGCGUACCAUCUCCUCUUUUCUUUAAACCAAACUCUAGAUCUUUUCUUCCCUAUUUUAAUCGAAUCAACCUCUUCCAUCUUUAACUUAGCUUAUUAUUUCUUUUUCAUUUAAAAGUCGAGUCAUACACUUUGGGGGUUUGAUUUCCUGUUGGCAAGCGAUCUCGCAAUCGGUAAGUGCAUUAGAUCUUCUUCGAAGUUUGUCAAAUAUUUCUAAGUUCUUUCGUUGCUACACUCUUAAAAGUUGAUUUUUCUUUAUUCUUUUCCAAUACUUUCGUUAACCUAUGGUUUCUCCUUUUAUUUCUCUUUUUACCUCUCAUUCAAGAGUGUGGUCGCCGACUAAGUAUUAGUUGAUGGAAAAAUGGGGUUCUAGCAGAGAAGUUGGGAUAGAGGCUCCCAAGUUUAAGCGUCGUAAGGUGUUAAUCGUUCGAGACUUUUUGCCUGGUUGCGGAAGGGGAGAUACGUCAGAUUUCAGGUUACAUAGGCAAAUCGCAGUUGAUCAAUCUAGUUAAGGCAAGUAUAUGUUGUUCUUCGGUAAGUAGUGGAUUUAUUUUGAAUUAAUGGGAUGUGACUGAUGGAGUAUAAUGUUGAAUAUAGGUUCGAGCGAUUAUGCAUACCUAGUACUCCAGGUGAUAAGGUGUGCACUCUUACCCUAUGAUAGCUUGAUAUAAAGCCGAAGGUAUGUACAUACACUGCACAUACACAGUAGAUCGGCAAAAGUCGAAAUACCGAAAAGUUGAAAUCCUGAAAAUCCAAAAGUUUGGCUACGGUAGUCUUGCGAGUGUACGAACACUCGUAAAGUGGAAACCGAUAGGUUAUCUGAGGCCCCAUGGGCAAUUCCAUGAACUUGGACCAUAUUUUGGCCAACCGGGCCAGGAUGGGCUAAGUGGGCCCGAUAGGCUAUUGGGCCUAUAAUAGGCAAAAUUGGCAACUUGAUGUUAAGUGAUGGAAAUUAUAUUAAAGUAUGUAUAUGAAUGUGAUUUGGGCCUAAUGGGCCAUAUGAAUGAGAUUGGGCCUAGUGGGCCAUAUGCAUUUAUGUAGACUUGUUUGGGCUCUGUAAUGGGUUUUGGGCCUAGUAUCUGAUAUUUAAUUGACAUAACCUUAAUUAAUUAAUUGCAACCGUGGACGUGUCAUAAGGGUAAGGUGUGGUAAUGGGUAUAUGCAUGUCUAGGAUUGGAUCUAGAGAGAGCUUGGUACUUAAGCGGUCUUAAUGACUCACCUCCUCUUCUCUGGAAUCCUACCUGGUGCAUAGUAUCUAUUCACUUUAGCCAAUGAGAACUUGUUAACAGGCCAAGGUAAGUAAUAAUCCUAAUAAAGAGAAAUUAUCGAAAUGCCCCUAAGGGCAAAAAUGACUAAAAUACCCCUAUGUGUGGAAUGUAAAAUUUAUGGAUGUUACAUAUAUACUACUGCAUUCAUAUGCAUUCAUAUGAUAUUCUAUUUAGGUUGCAUAUGGGUUGGGAAUUAUGGAACGGAGGAAGUAUAUGAGGAUCGCAUGGUUGCUUGACAACCGUGGAUCCACCGACAGCUAUUAAGCCCAAUAUAUGAUUGGCAGCUUGCUGCAAUGAAGGUAGUACCACAACCGGGCUACCAUUGAUUUGUAUCAGUUGGGUGGGUCGAUAUUUAUAUCCCCACAUGAUGUGUAUUGUAGGACAGAGUUGGUGUGUAGCGGUUGGAUUAUUGGGGUGGGUUGCACAGCAUUGCACGUGUGAUAUUAUUGUGAUAUUAUUGCAAUGUGGGCUUCGGCCCAACUAAGGCUAACAUGGGCUGAGGCUCAAAGGCCACCGUUAUUGAAUUGGGCUCAGGCCCAAAAUGAUUGAUGAUUGCUUUAUACUCGUUGAGGGUUGUACACACUGAGUUUUCGAAACUCACCCCCUCCUUCUAAAUUUUUCAAGUGAUCCUCAGUAGGCGGUUCGACGGAUGGAGGGACUCGAAGGUGGCCAACUAGCAUAAAAAGUUUAGACUUAGUCUUUAUGUAAUUUUUAAUAUUUUGAUUUUAAAUUAUUUCUUUUUUAUUUGGGUUGUAGUAAGGCCUUUUCCUCUUCUAAUAUUUCAAAUUAGGAUUAUUAUCAUUUUUAUGCUUUAUAUUUAUUAAAAGUAGAACAUGGUUUUCCUAAACCAUAACUGUUUUUAAAUACUAUGUUUCCGCAAAUAAAGUUUUAAAAGACAAGUUUUCAUAAAUCAUAUGUUCUAAAUAAAGCUUUUGCAACUGAAAAGAGAUUUUACAAAGUAAUUAAGGUUUUUUCCAUUUUAAGGAAGUGUUUCUAAUGAAAACAAGGUUUUCGAUAAAACACUUCAAUGUGACACACUAGAUUCGGCCGUAACGUCUAGGACGAGUUUACGGUGUUACAAUGUUUCGUUUUAGAACUACUACUGGUUUUUUGUGUCUGAUUUUGUAGUUAAUUGGUUUUGAUCUCACACUGAGCUCGAGUAGCUCACCCCCUCUUCUGUUUCCCUUUUCAGGUACAGUUCUGGAUUCUGUUGAUGGGCUUAGUACGCGGAGGUCUCGAGCAGUCUUGGAGGAAUGAACUAUAAGUUUAAUUGCUAUUUGGUUUUAGUUUGAACUGUAAAGCUUUAUAAGACUGUGGUACAAUUUUUCGUUAUAUGCUAUAGUCGUAUAUUUUAGACUGAUAACUUUUUGUAUAGAAUUUUAAAACGACUAUUGGUUAUUGGUUUGCUAUGAAAUAAAUGUUCCUAAGUAAAUAAGGGGUUUAUUUUUGUAAAAUUUUCUCAUGAUCACUUCAGUGAUCAAUAUAGCAUCCUGGAUUCAGUCUAGACUUCUAGGCCGGGUUUGGGUUGUUACACUUUGAUAGUUGUAUUUAUUUUAAGAAAAAUAACGAUGGUUCUUUUGUGUAUCUAUUGCUCUAUGUUGAUGUCAUGUUGAUAGUAGCAAAAGAUAAAUGAGAGAUAAAAAAUGUUAAAGCCCAGCUUGGUGAAUAAUUUAAGAUGAAGGAUUUAAGAUGAAGGAUUUGGGAGUAGUAAAGAAGAUACUUGGUAUGGAGAUCCUCAGAGAUAGAAAAGCAAGUAAAUUGUACCUAAGUCAGAAAGGGUACAUUGAGAAAGUUCUUUGCAAGUUUAAUAUGCAGAGUGCUAAGCCUGUUACUACUCCUUUAGUAGCCCAUUUCAGACUUUCAUGGGCUUUGUCUCUACAGUCAGGUGAUGAGAUUGACUACAUGUCAUAUGUUCCAUAUUUAAGUGCAGUGGGAUCUCUUAUGUAUGCUACGGCUUGUUCAAGUCUAAAUUUAUCAUAUGCAGUCAGUACAGUUAGUAGAUACAUGGUGAAUCCCGGUAAAGAAUAAUAGAAAGCAGUUUAGUAAAUUUUGAGAUACUUAUGAGGUACUAUUGAUGUUUGCUUACAUUUUCGAAGAAAUAGAGAUGAAAUCAUUGGGUUUGUUGAUGCUAAUUUUGCUGGAGACCUUGAUAAAAGAAGAUCUCUCACAAGUUAUGUCUUUAUAAUUAAGGGUUGUGCAAUUAGUUGAAAAGCCACUUUGCAAACUACUAUCGCUUUGUCUAUCACUGAAGCUGAGUACAUGGCGAUUACUGAGACUUGUAAAGAAGCUAUUUGGUUAAAAGGGCUCUUUAGUGAACUCAAUGAAGAUUUUCAAAUCAGUACAGUAUUUUGUGAUAGUCAAAGUGUCAUCUUCCUUACGAAGGAUCAAAUGUUUCAUGAGAGAAUAAAGCACAUUGAUGUUCGGUAUCAUUUUGUUCGUGAUAUUAUUGUCCAUGGUGAUAUUGUUGUGAGUAAAAUUAGUACUUAUUAUAAUCCUGUAGAUAUGAUGGCAAAGUCACUUCUUAUAACCAAGUUUGAGCAUUGCUUUGAUUUGGUUGAUGUUCAUUGUUGAAGAUAAACCCUUAAGGGGUUUUAUAGAAGAGGUGGAGAACUUGUUCGUUGAGAGUUAGUGAUGAAGAAAUUGUUCGUUGAGAAAUUGUUGACCCAAAUUCCUGUUAAAAUUAAAAUACAAGUGGCAAGAUAGGGGGAUUUACAAGGGCAAAGGUUGUAUUUUAUUGUAGAUCUCCAAUAAGAAAAUUACUGGACUAGGAUCUUAACUGGGGUUGCAAGGCCUCUAGCCCCUGCGGUACGGUACAGGCUACACAAGUGAAAUCUGCAUAGAAGUUUACUUCCUUUAUUUGAUGUUGAUUAAAAUAAGGUGUUUUAACCUUACUGCAUUACUUCUAUUUGAAUUUGGUUAGAAUAAGGUUUUUAAACCUAUAAAUAGACGUAUUCAUCUCUCUUCUUGCAUCAUUCGAAUUCGACAUAGUGAAUUUUCUUCUCCUCUACCCGUAGUUUUUUCCCAAAAGGGUUUCCACGUAAAGUUCUAUGUAUAUUCUAUAUUCUCUCUUUCUUUGUAAUUCAUUAUCAUUAUUGACAUUCAGUUUUCACAAUAUGGAUAUAAGUAAGUUGAUACAAGAAAAGAAAUACAAAAAAAAAACUUACACUUAUAUAUGAGUCUUACACUGUAUCUUCAGUAAAAACCAUCUACCUAUUGUCGUCCCAACCAAAGUCACUAUUGUCUUUUUCUCUAAGCAUACUGUAAAAUGAUUGUUCAAUCCUUUUUAAUAUCCUAAUCCUUUAUUCAAGAUUAGGUUUAGCCUUUAGCAUUGCAUGAGGUAAAACUUUUUCCAUCAUUCUCUCCAAUUCAAGUAAACAACUAGCCUUGAAUCCCAUACCUGCAAUAAAAGUUCCAUCGUUGUGCAAGUCUACCUCAUUUCCUUUUGGUUCCUCUAGAAUUUUCGGAAGAAUUUGUAGUUGAUUGUGAAAAGCCUAGCAUACUUUUAAAAAAAAUUCACAAUCAAUUAAUAGAUAAAAAAAUCAAUUAAUACAAGUCUAGUACAAUACAAAAAUACGAUAAACACAACAUCAAAGAUAAAUAAAAUAAUAGAAAGUCUUCUAAACAACACUUUUAGCCCUAUUAAUUUCUAGAUGCUUAUCAUUCAUUGGACAUUUGAUUUGCUAGUUCCAUCCUCCAAUUUGCCCAUGCAUUAGUUGGAUGAAUAUUGAUUAUAUUAGGUUCAAAAUCCUCUAUCACCUUACUAUUUAAACCUUCACCCAGUACCGCUUUAAUAGGAUCAAGACUCAUUUCAAUUCGAAUAAAAUUACGAAGUAAGCAACAAACAAUAAUGAUUCAAUUGUGCACCCUUACAGGAUAAAAUGAUAGACUCCUAAGUAUAGCCUAUCUAAGUUUUAAUAAACCAAAACAAGUUUCAAUAACGUUGUGCUGAUGCAUGUUUCAUAUUGAAAAAUUCUUCUGGAGUGCUUGGUUGGUGACCUUAGCGCCAUUCAUUCAAAUGGUAUCUUUGUCUUCUAAAAGGAGUAAGAAAUCCUCGCAAUUUGUGUAACCAGCAUCAACUAGAUAAUAACAACCUAUAUUAAAAAAACAUUAUUUAUCAAUCUCUUGUUUGCAAUGUUAGUAUGAUCUAAAAAAAUAAUUAAACUUCAUCUAUGUAUAUAUUUUACCAUGAGAAACUUUUAGCCCAUGCUCCUAAUAAUGGCAUCUUGAAGAACUCAUCCAUCAGUAACAAAACUUUCCCAACUAGGAAGAACAUAAACAAAUUGCAUAUUAGGUGUACAAACACCUAAUAUAUUUAUUGUUAUGUCACCUUUUUUAGUUCGAUAUCUAGGUUUAUCAACUGAUUGAACCCUAAUCUUGAUAUAAGUUCCAUUUAAAGCACCUAAGCAAUUCUAAAAAUAAAUUAAAAGGUGAAGUUAGGAUACUCUAUUGAAAUCAAAAUCAAGUGAGUUAUUUCUAAAUAAUACAUAUACCCACUCCAAUACCUUAAACCAUUUCCACCUGGUGUCUGUAGAAUUAGUUGGAACUGGCUCUAGAUUUUUAAAUAACACAUCUUGUAAGCAUAUCACACCAUUUAAUACAUUACGUAAAAAUCUACUAACGGUGUUCCUGGACCUAUUAAAGUGAUGCUUGAUAACUCGAUUUUUAAGAUGAUGAGUAAUAAUAUGUAAGAACAUUGCCACUUGCUCAUCUACAAGCAUGUUCCUUGAUGACUUCAAUCCUCCUAAAGUUUGUAACAUCUCAAAUAAUUUAAAAAAAACAAAUCUAUUCAUUCUCACUUGUUCAAUACAUGUCUCAUCACUAGCAUAAACAAGUUGCUUCACAUAAUCUCUUUGAGCAUAAAAAUCUAAAAUAUAUGAUCUAAUCCUUGAUCUAUAAGUUUGUAGGCUAGAGACGACACCUAACAUAACUAUGAACCAACUCGCACUUGAACAUAUUUGCAACCAUACUGUCAAUGCAAGACCAAUCCUUUUACGCCUCUCACUUUGUACAAUUAAAGGCAAAUAAGUCAUUACUGCAAGAUAUUAAAGUGUUACAUAUCUUCAAAUCAUAGUAUAAAUCAAUCUCAAAAUAUAAUGCGAUGCAUAUAUCUUCAAAACACACAAUGCAAAGCUAAAAAGGGACACAUUUAUUCAAUACUAAUCUCAAUAAUAGUAAAACAAAAUCAAAGAAUUUAAUUGCAAAAGAACUUACAAUGAUUUAGUGAAUACAAGAGGCUCGGCUAUUGGUGGAGGAAGCAACCAAGCAAGCCAAAGAAGAGAAAGCAAUAACACACUGCUAAAGAAAAAUGAAUAAUACAUAUUAAGAAUCUUUGCAAAGCACAAAGUAGAAAUUACAAAUAUCUUUGCAAGUAAAAAACCUGAAAUUCAUAUCUUUAUCAAAUUUCAUUCAACAAAAUCGGCUCUUUGUUUAGCAAAUAAUAAUGUCUUGAAAAGAAUUUCACAUCUUUGCAAGUAAUAAUGUCUUUAAUGUUGCACAAAAUUAUAUAAUAGGUUGUAGGGGCAAAAAAAAUUAAAAAUAUAUUGUGGAAAUUACAUGAAAUUGCAUUUACAUGUUGUAUUUACAUGUUGCAUUUUAAAAUUUUAAUAGGUUGUAAGCUCUUUAAUCGUUUAGUUACAUUUAUUUAUUGUAUUCACAUGUAUAGGUUCUUUUCAAUCCAGUACUUGUAUUAUUAGAUCCGCUUUAACUUCAAAACAAAAAGAACAAAGUGACUAUAUUGUCAAAUUUAAGGUAGUAUAGGGACAAAAAUUAUAAUUUAACUAAUUUAAAACGUAUUACAAAAGCUUAAUACAUGCCACGUAUUUAACACCAUACUUUUAUUUCUAACAAUUUAGUCACUCUACCAAUCCAAUUGUUAUUACUAUUAAAAUUAUUUUACUAAAUUUAGAUUCAUUACAUUAUUAUUUUUUUAGUUGCAUGGCUACUUUUCUUUAUUUCAAAACUAGGACAUAAACCAUGAGUAUGAAAUUUUUCUUUUCAAGUUUCAUGGAUGUUUAAUGGAGUAUCUAUUAGGGAUAUCACUUAAAAUAAAGAAAUAUAGGUACUUGAACAAUUUUCAAAUUACUAUGCAUAAGAAAGAGAUGAAAUAUGAAGAGCAAGGAAAAUUUGCUUUGCUGGACAUAUUUUUAGUUAAAUAAAAAAUAAAGUGCAGUGAUUGUUAUAAGGAAAAUGUUAAAAUCUGCUUCACUAGUCAUAAUACCAACAGAUACAAUAAAUGGAGAAUAUGACACCCCCAUAGUUUUCCUUUAUAUAUGACACCAACAUAAAAUAGAUAGAUACACUUAUAUGCUAGACUCGAAUCUUGAACAGGUAUCGGUACCAUCACAUAUAGUUACCUCACUUGCAUGCAUAAAAAACACAAAUCAAUCUUUGCACAUCAAGUCUAUGUAAAUUUAAGAUACGUAUACCCUUCUGAGUUUUGAUGCAUUUCAAUAAGACCACAUAAUUUCAUUCUAACCAUUUCCAAGAAGCAAACUAGCUUUUUACUUCCAAUAUGGAAGCCAAAAGAUACAUUAUUAGGCAUUCAAACCUCUUAAAAAUCUUCAAUGAUAUCAAGAGACAUCCACAUAACCACAAAAAAGUAAAAGUAAUAUAAAGUCUAGGUAUAGAUCCAUAGAAAAUAUUCAAAAGGAUGUUGUGGAUGAAACUUAAGCCAAAACAUGUACAUAAUGUCAUUUGUUGUCGAGAUCAAAGCAAAAACCAGACAUUUAAAUCUUAAGGGACAACAAAUAAAGCAUUAAAGAUCAUAAAGAUACGUAAAAUUGUGGGUAGUCUGAAGCACUAAAUACAAUUAUCAGUUUCCUCGACUCCACAUCAUGCUAGUUAUACUACUUCACUUGAACAUCGAGAAACGAUAAUUAUACAGUUAUCAAUAUCCUCGACUCCACAUUAUGCUAGUUAUACAGUUAUCAGUUAUUGAUCUCAUUUUCAUCGAUCAUGAUUCAUGAUUUAAACAACCAUAGCAUAACAUGAUUAUGGGUAAGAACCUGUCAUAAAUGUCUUGUAAUAUAAUUGGUAGUUAUAUUAUAUAGUCAAAAAAGAUAAAUCGACAUAUAUGCCUGGAAAAUGAAACAAAUCUAAACACAAACCAAGUAGCAAAAUUAUCAAAUUUUGAAAAGAAAAAAAAUGAAUUAAGUUGACCUUGCCUUUACUCUAAGCUGGAAUUCAAAGCACCAACUAUUACAUACAGAUAGAUGUGCUAAGUAACCAGUUCAGCUUAAAAGGAAAUUCUUAAAAACAAAAUAGUAAGAAAACAACUUAAGGGGAGAAUAAUGCAAUUCCAAGCCCUAAUUUUUGGGUUUAGAAAAACAUAGCAAUACAAUAUUUACAUUUUCAUCUCAGUUUAAACACAAAACGAAAAUAAAAAACAUGUAAAUAACAAAUCCCAUGAGAAUAUUGGAUAAAAACUUAAAUUUUUUUUCAAAUCUAGGAGGAGGAACUAGUGGCUUCAAGGUUGUAUCAACUGACAUGAUUCAAUAAUCAAAGGAAAAAUAAAAAGAAGAAAGAGCGGAGGAACUGAUGGCUUCAAUAUACUGACGUGAAAGAGCAGAGGAAUGAAAGUGGCUGGAGGCGAAGCAAGCAAGGGAGGUUGGGUAAAAGGGGUUGUCGAGUUGAGAGAGGAAGGUUUCAAAAAGGUGAGGGGCAAAAAUUGAAAAUGGGAAAAAUUUUCUUAUUCCACCUAAGUUGAAUCACCAUUCGGUGGUGAGGGAAGGAAAUGUCUAUUUUGCCUCUUUUCAGAAUAAUACAUUAUUCAACGUCGGUCAAAAUAGGUCAUUACAAUCAACCAAACAUUAGUUUAGUGAUGGGCCCGCCGAAAUGGAUUGUAAUCCAUUCAUACUCCCCCAACUAAACAUGCUCUAAAAAUUUUGAUUCUUUAAUCCCAACAACUUUUGACUUCUUAUUUGUUACCAACAAUUUUGAUUCAUCAAUUAUUUAAAAUGAGUAUCGAUUUCUUUUUUCUGUUUCUUUAAUGGUAAAAAAAUAUUUAAAGUGCCUCUAUAUUUUUGGUUGGUAGUCGAAAGAGUUCAACCUUAAAUAUUUAUUUUCUUAAUUGAUUUUCACUACAUUUUUUCUUGUGUCAAAUAGUCUAAUAAUAUAUAUAUAUAUAAAUCCGUGACCUUGGAACCAUUUUUGAUAUAUUAAAUUGCUUGAUAAAAAGUAUUUACUAUUAGAUACAUAAUUCUACAACUUACCCUUUAGAUGCAUAAUUCCACUAUAUUUAUUUCACUAUAGUUGGUAUCUAUUAUUUUUAUGUUUUUGUUAUGAAUGUUAUAAAUUUUAAUAAAUUAUUUAAAUUUAAAUAAAUUUAUUUAACUCAACCCGAUUCGAAAAGAAUUUCAUUCAACUCAAUUUCAUAAAAAUUUCAAAUUACAGUCGAUUGAUAAAAUAAGACUCUAUUCAACUAAUCUGAAUUUUUUAAGGUGAUUAAAUCGAGUUAUCAUGUGAUUAACUUUUUUUAAGGCGAUUAACUAUUUACAAACUUUCUUUUCGUAAACAAUAUUAUAAAACAAAAUAAUACUAAUAAAAAAUUAAUAAUUAAAUCAAUAUAAUUAUAAAUAUAGAUUUUAUAUUAAAAUAUAUAUAAUCCCAAUUUAUUAAAUUACUUUUUUUAAUUUUAAAAUUAUUUAAUAAAUUUCAUUCUUUCUUUUUAUCACUAUUAUCCAAUAUAUAAUUCUUACAAUUUAGUAAUAUUAUCAUAAUGUCUCACCAAUUUGUUACAUUUAUACAACUCAAAAUAAAACAUUUCAUUAAUAAAAUAUUAAAAUUUAUCAAAUUAUUUUUUAUAAAUAAAAUUUUAGGUUUAAAAAGUAAUUUUAAAUAUAUAAAAUGGAUGCUCAAUUUGAAUAUCAAGAUUUUUUUUUAUUCUUAUGGGUUUUUUAAAUGAAUACUCAUAUUUUUUUUCUUUUUAUACUCAUCAAAUUCGAAAAUUAAUUGUAAUGGCAUUAUAAAAAUAAAAGAAUUAAAUUAUGUUAAAUUAAAAUGUAAGAAUUAAAUCUAAAAUUUGAACUUAAUAACAUUGAAACUACAAAUAGAGAUUGAGAAUAAACAAUUGACGUUGCUUUCUCUCCGAUGAGAGUUUUUAUUUAUAAGUCAGACUAGUGUUCACACUGUAACAUCCCAAAAUGGGGUUAAAAGAAUUGGGUUUGUGGUUGAUUGAUUGAUUAGAUUUGAGCUUGAAUGCGCAUGAUUGUUAAAGUGUGUUAAUGUAUGUUUUAGUAUAACUAAGCAUGAUUUGUAUGAUCUAGUAUGAUAUAGGGUAUGUUAGAAUAAGAAAAAUUGACAUGAAAACAUGAAAUAGUAUGUAUAGGUGUCAAUAUGUCAUAUGUAGGUUGGGCAUGUUUUGUUAUCUUUGCAAUUGAGUGCUGAUUUUUAUGUUAAGCAAUUAAAGUCCCUAAAUGUUAUGAAAUGACUUGAAAAUUUUCAUGAUAAAGUCUUAUUUGGAUAAUUCCAUAAUUUUACUCUUGAUUUUACAAAAAUGUUUUACUAAAAUUGUAACACCCUUAACCCCUCUCUGUCAUUAAAUUAGGGUCACAGGCGUUACUAACCAAUCACAACAUUUAAUUACAUCAUAAGUAAAUUUGCAAGCUAACUAUUUACAUCACAUCAUACCGAGAGCAAUACAUGUUAAUUUAAUAUUUCCAUAAUAGUGUUUUAUACAAUCGAAUAAUGAAUCAUGCUAUGCAAUACUAAACUUGGUCUUCCACUGUCUACACUCUUAUCACUAUUUAUCCCCUCUUGAAAGCUAAAAGUUGGAUACAUAACAAGAUUAUUCCAAUUAUUAGCAUCAGAGUAUUGGACCAUACUUCGACUACUACCUUUGAUGAUAUUAGUAGAAUAACCUACUUCAGCUAACUUAAGUUUGUUAUAUCAUUCCAAAUCAGAGUUAAAAAUACUCUUACAGUCCUUAAUAUGAGUCCAUGGGACCCUAAAAAUAAUCUAAAAAUAGGCAGAGGCUAAUUUGAAACAAUUCUGAAAGUUUAGGGUAAAUUUCAGAAAUACCUAAAAAUAAGGGUCACACGGUCGCAUGACCAAGCCGUGUGGAACACCCCAGACUGUGUGACUUUUGAAGUUGGGACACACGGCCGUGUCCCAGCCCGUGUCUCUGCCCAUGUGUCUCACUAACUUGUAUCACACAGCCGUGUCGCAGGCCAUAUGUCAACCCAUGUGUGUCACACGACUGUGUGACAGAUCGUGUCUCAAGCUAUGUGUACCUAAAUGUACCUUAAAACUCAAGUUUACUAAAUUGUGUUUACUUGGACACUAAGCAACCAAUUCACCAAUCAUUUAACCUAUUCAAAACUCAAUUAAACAUGCUCAAAACAAGCUAAAACAACCAUCCUAAGUGCCUAACCAAUGUAGUAUCAUUGGUACCACAUUUUAUAUCUUCAAACAUAUUAACAAAGCAUCAUCCAUUCAAAACCUUCAUUCAUACCAAAAUUUCCAUAAUUGGACUAACAUAUAGCUACUUAGGUUACCAAACCUCAAGUUAAACACAUACUAAACUUUAAGCUAAGCUAUCAUACCAAACAUAGCCUCAACCACAACCAUAUAUAAAAAUAACCAUCAUUUCACUUGAAAACCAAAAUAUUAUCACAUAUCAACAACAUUGACCAAAAGACCUCCUAGGUACAUGCCAUUACAAAAAUAAACAUCACCAUACUUGAGUACAGGAUCAUUGUUUAUUCUUCAAUUUAGUCCCUAAAUCGAGACUAAUUUUAAUCUCCACAUUUAACUUUAUUUUUUAUACUAAUUUCACCCUAAGCUACAUUUAGCUCCCUAUUUUCAAUUCUACCCCUUAAUUUUAAAAUUUUCACAAUUGAGUCCCUAUUACUCAAAAUUAACAAUUAAUUCUACAAUUUAGUCCUGUUCCACUUCUAACUUAAAAAUCUAUCAAUUUAACCCCUAGUACUUAAAUUAUUCAACAAUGACAACAUCUAAAAUCUUAAACAAUACUAAAAAUUAUAACAUGGGUCGAGUAAUUUUAAGUACCGAGAUUCUAAAAACGUAAAAUUUAUAAGAAAAUGACUAAAUUGCACUAAUCAAAUUUGGAUUUGAACUCCAAACACUCCUAGGACGUGAGUUACUUCUUUUCUUCUCCCUUUUGUUUCGAAUGCAUGUAAAAGAGAAUGAAAUUCUCUUUCAUUCCACUAUCAAUUAUGUUUUCUUUUAUUUUGUUUUAAAAUUUAUUAUUAUAACUUAUAUAUUUUAAGUUAACAUAAUAUAUAUUAUAUAUACAUAUCAUAAAUGUUUCAUUAUGACCGUCCAUUAAAAGGAAACAAGGGUAAAUUUACUUAUUUAGUCCUUUUUAAUUAAUUUCAAUAUAUAAUUCAACUUUCAACACCGACGCGAUUUAAUCCCUAUACCUUAAUAGCUCUUAAUUCAUGAAAAUUACUUAUCCAAAAUUUAAUUUGCCUCUAAUAUGACUCUGUAAAUAUUUAAUAAAAAUAUUUACGAGUUCGAUUUGUAGAAACGAAGUCCCGAAAAUAUACUUUCCAACACCCCUAACUAUUGGGUUAUUACAAAAAUAUUUUACUAAAAUUAUGAUUUAGUCAUUAAACUUUGCUUUAAAAAUUAAAUGAGUUUUACUUAUCUAUUCUAGAACUUUCUUUCAAUUAUUGUCCUUAUUAAAUUAUUUUUAUACUGUACAUAUGAUUUAAUUGUUGAAUUACGAAUGUUACUAAUGUCAUAUGUUAAAUAAGAAAUGAAUAUUAGGCUUGUUGGUUUCCGUGUAUCUAAGUCAUCUUAUUAGAGUUCACUAAGGGUGAAAUGAAUUGAAAUAUUUAUAUUGAGAUUUGACUAGGGAUGUCAAUUGAGCGGGGCAAGUGUGGGGGGUGCUACCCCUGCACCCAUCUUCGCCAAGAAUUUUCAUCCUCAUCCUUACAUCGCAACCCGCUGCGAGUACAAAACCCAAAGCCAUCCCUGCCCACCACCCACGUAGGUCCCUAAACCCACCUAAUCCCCGCUAUACUCACCUUGUGACCCACUUUACAUAAUAUAUUUAUAAGUAUCAGUCAAAUAAAUAUAAACAUAUAGCAGUGAAGUAGGAGAUAAAUGAGAUAAUGAAGUAAGAGCUUCAAGUUUGCAAGUUGUGGCGUGGAGUAAUUGUAACAGCCCAUUUUUAGUGAAAUCGGAAUUGUAAUUUCGGGACCAUGGAUCCGAUGUAACACCCCGUACCCGAGACCGUUUCCGGAGUCGGACACGAGGGGUUCACAGACUAAAUUCGCUUACUAUCGCAGUCCAUUUUAAAAAUUUCCAGAUAGCUGGCUAACUGUGUCGCUGUCACCUUAAAAAUCAUAUCUUGAGUUUCACAACUCGAAAAUCAGUUUCGUGAUUUUUCCCUAAAACUAGACUCAUAUGUCCAUCUACAUAUUUUUUUCUAAAAUUUUUGGUCGGGCCAAUUAGUACAGUUUAUUAGUUAAAGUCUCCCCUGUUACAGGGUGCGACUACACUGACCUUCAUGCAUUACAAUUUGGAUAUCUCCCUGUACAGGGCUUCAAUACUGAUGCCGUUUGUUUCUAUAGAAACUAGACUCAUAUAGGAAUCUAUACAUAUAUGGCAUGACUCCUAAUUAUCUCUGGUUAAUUUAUAAUGAAUUUCCAAAGUCGGAACAGGGAAUCCAGAAACUGUUCUGGCCCUGUUCCACGAAAACCUAAUUAUCUCUUAACAUACCCCUCAUAUGACCGUUUCGUUUCUUCCAUAUGAAAGUGGAUUCAUCAAGGUUCAUUUAAAUAAUUUAUUCACUAUUUAAUUCCAUUCCUACUAUUUUUAGUGAUUUUCCAAAUCUACAUCACUGCUGCUGUCAGCAUCUGCCUUUAAGGUAGACUUUACCUAUUUCAUAGUUUCCAUGAUUCAACUAGCCCUUUUAGCAUAAAUAGCACAAAUUAUGAUAGUGAUUAACCAUUCCCAUGGCCAAUCCUUGUUAAGCAUAUCCACACCUCUCAAUAACCAUAUCCAUACCAAAUGAUUAUAACAUUAUGCUCAAACAUAUAUAAGCCAUUUUCGCAUGGCUAUCCAAAAUUAUACAAAUCCAAAGGGUCCAUGACCCACUACAAAAAGGGUAGUCCUAUACAUGCCAUUUUCAGAGUUCAACCAAAAGUGUACCAAAAGGGCUUUGAUAGUGUGGGCGACUUCGACUUCAAUAAUCCCGAGUCCGAUAGCUGACGAACCAAAAUCUAUAAAACAGAGAUUCAAAGAACGGAGUAAGCAUUUAAUGCUUAGUAAGUUUUAAGCAAGACAAAGUGUUCUCAAUCACUAUUAUUGGUCAUUCAUUUCAACUGUUCGAUGAAGUUAAUCUAGAGCUUCAUCUCGAUCUAUAAUAUCAUUAAACGCAACACUUGGCUGCCACAUAUAUACUUUCAAAUAAUAAUGACCUAGAUGGUCAAAUAUUUCCAAAGCACAUUCUUCAUCAAUUUUCAACUUUCAAUAAUCCUUUCCACUUGUUCAUAAUCACAUCCAUACUUUUAAGUAUUUCAACAUGACAAGUACUAAAUUACCAUAGGCACAUAAAGAACCAACAUAUUCCUUAUCACAUAUAUAUGUAAGCUUACAAAUCAUAAUCCUUACCUUGUACUGGCACAUUAGCUCAACCCAACCCAUACUCAGAUCAUAAGGCUUUUGGGCAGAAUAUGCACUAAUACAUAAGAAUAUUUCAUCGCAUACUUUAUUAUACAAACAUACCAUUACCAAUUAGAUCAUUCUCACAUUUGGAGUUAUAAUAUUAAUCACAUUUAUCUACCUCUUUGAUACUGAUAAUUCACCUCGAAAUCACUCCACCGAUGAGUAAGUAAUACGUACCUGAACAUCUUGAAUACAUAAUACUCAUUUGAUGGUAACUUAAUGCAGAUACUCAAUAUCAAAGUCUUACUUGAAUCCUAGCAUUUAGCCGUCGAGUCUUUAAAGCUCGGAUAUAGUACGAGCACGAAGCCUACGGACAUUAAUCAGGAUAAUAUUCUCGCAUAAAGCCUGCGGGAUUUUAACCCGGAUAUAGUACUGACACAAUUGCCCUUCGGGUCUUAUCACAUUUAUACACUUCCACAUCCAUCACAUUGGCCAUUCGGCCUUAUCACAUAUAUACACUUUCACAUUCAUCACAUUGGCCAUUCGGCCUUAUCUCAUAUAUGCAUGUUCACAUUCAUCACAUUGGCCAUUCGGCCUUAUCACACAUACACAUGUUCACAUUCAUCACAUUGGCCAUUCGGCCUUAUCACACAUACACAUGUUCACAUUCAUCACAUUGGCCAUUCGGCCCUAUCACAUAUAUAUACUUGUACAUCAAUUUCAUCAGAACAAAAUUGACUAGGUAUACUAGUCAUUUUUGGCUUAUAGCUUCACUUUAAUACGGAUUUGGUACUUUGAUUACCAAUGUUUAAUCGAUAGCUUAUAAGCAACUCAAAUGGUUUUAUUAAGGUUUACAACAAAAUCCCAAAUUCAGCACAAGCUGUUUUUUUCUGAGCAACAGUCAUUAAAUUAUUCGUAAAUGGAGCUACGAAACUCCAAAUGGAGUGCCGUUAAUUUUCCCUGGAAAUAGACUCAUACAUAUCUUAUCCAGAAAAUUUUCAGAAUUUUUGGUUUGGCCAAUCAAUACCAUAUUUUUCUUAAAGUUUCCCCUAUUUCACUGUUUGACUAAUCUGACCACUCUUCACUACGAAUCAAAUUUCUCAUUGUACAGAAUUAAAAAUGUGUUCUAUUUGAUUUCAUUUGAAACUAGACUCAUUAAGGAGUCUAGGCAUAUAAAUUUUAUCUUAUAACCAUUUUUGUACAAAUUAUAAUGAUUUUUCUAAAAACAGAACAUGGGAUUUCGGAGUCAUUCUGACACUGUCCUACACAACUUUAAAUAUCUCUUUAUAGGAAAUUUCUUUGCUUCCACGGUCUCUUUUAUAAGAAACUAGACUAAAUAAGCUUUGAUUACAUAUUUUAUUCAGCCUAUAAUUCCACACCAACAAUUUAUAGUGAUUUUCUAAAAUCACGUUACUGCUGCUGUCCAAAGCAAAUUAUUACAAUUUGCUCUUAAAUUUCCAAGUCCAAACACUUAUGAACUUACCAUUUGAGUUUAAGACAUAUCAUGGUCACAUCAUAUCUUAUUAAAUCAACUCAUUAUGUCCUAUUAUGACUGAAUUUACUCAACGUUUAAUCACUUAAAACUUACCUCGGAUGUGGUCGAACGAUUUCGGCGGCUAUUCGAUCACUUUUUCCUUCCCUUUAUCGGAUUUAGUUCCCCUUUGCUCUUGAGCUUAAUUUAACAAAUAAAUUGAUUUAAUCAUUUGAACAUCGAAAAGAGAAAAUCAAGGUACUUAACCCAUAUAUAUAUACAUUAGACAUUAAAGUCACAUACAUAUGAAAUCAUGAAUCAACUCAACAUAUUAACCCACACUCUCUUUUAGCCGAUUGUCUAAGCCAAGAUUAAGCCACCAAUAUGCUUACUUAUAACCGAAUACAUGCAACACCAAUCUAUGUGUUCAUUCAUGUGGUCGAGUAUACAUAUUCCAAUAUGAUAUCAUUUCCAUUUCGUUUAACACUUAACUUUUACCACAUAUCAAAUAACCCAUUUCUUUACUCAUGUGGCCGAUUAUAUUCGGUCAUGCAUACUCACAUAAAAUCAAUUUGGAGACUCUAUCAACCCAACAUACAUUCGGCAAUAGUCUAUAGUUCUCUCUCUCGGCCACUCAUUUCACACUUAACAAAGCUUCCAUUCGAAAUCAUUAGUGAGUAUCAAUUAACUUAGGCUACCUUUAAACCUUUAUUUAUCACCUCAUGCCAAACCAAAGACCACAUUCGGCACUUUCAUCCACCAUUCUACCAAGCAUGUAAUAUUCAACCACAACCAACUCACAAUCGGCCCUAGUUCAUAACAAGGUAGCCAAAUUCUUUUUAUGGUUCAAACACUCAUCUAUCAUCAUUCACCCAACUUUAUCAUGAAACAACAAAACUCACCAUUAUUAGCUACCAUAGUCGAAAACCUUACUCAAUCCAAAAAUCAAAAUUUCAUCAUGGGUUACAAAAAAAUAACUUGAUAUCUCACUCAAGAUUAACUAAAAUUUCAAGAACUAAUAUGAACACCUUACCUUAAUAUUGACCUAAGAUGACCGAUGGCUUCACUCCCUUCUUCCUCCUUUCAAUUCGGCCAAGAAGAACCAAAGAACACAACUUGUUUUCAUCACCAAAUGCUCUUGUUCCCUUUUUUUUUUCUUUAGAUUCGGCUAGGAAGAAACAUGUAUGAUGAUCUCUUUUUUUUUUUUCUUUCACCCAUCCCUUCCUUUAGUUAUCAAUUCUUUAUUUAUUACAUCCUCCAUACUAAUAUGGCACCUAGUUAAUUAAAGUUAAUAUAAAAUUCACACUUGAUUAUACAAUUUGUAGCAUGGCCGGCCACUACCUAUAGUUUGGCUAAUUUGACAUGCAAGGACAAGCACUUUCCCACAUAUACUAAUAGGCCACUUUAGCACUUGCCUAGUAUAUUUCUAAGUUGUCUCACAUAAGUCCCUACUAAUAAUUUUCACAUACACUAACCAAAUUGAAGUAUGGAACUAUCACACAAGCAUUUACUCACAUCAUAAACACAGAAUAUAACCUUUAAUUAUUUAUAAGACUCGGUUUCGUUGUCCCGAAACCACUUUCCGACUAGGGUCACUUUAGGGGUGUCACAUCCGAGCCUGAAAGAAAAUUUAUUUUAAUAUUAUUGCAUGGUUUGCAUUAUGAUAGGAAUGUCAUAUGAAAAUUCUGAUAAGAAACUUUUACCGAUUAUGUACUUAAUUACAGAAAGAACCAAAUUGCAUAAAUGUAAAAGUUGAAUUCUAAUAGCUAGAAGGAUUAAAUAGCCAUGGAAUUCAAAACUUAAGGUCUUUAUAUGGUAAUUAGACCAUUAAAGAAAAGUUAGUAGAUAUUUUUAAUGAUUCAUCAAUGGAAAAAUUAGAAAAAGUUAAGGACUAAAUUGGAAACUAAAAUAAUUAAAAAAUGAUAAUAGAAAUAUCAUCUUAUUUUAUAUCAUCUUCCCCAAAAUUUGCAUGGAAAACCUAGGAGAGAGAGAAGAAACUAAUCAAGCUCAAUUGGAUCCGGACAACUCAAAUUUGAAACUAGAUCGAGGAAAAGAAAAAGUUUCGGAUUAGUAGAAUUUCUUGUACAAACGACUGUUAAGGUAAGUUCGUGUAACUUACUUAUACAUGUUAUUAUGUUUGAAUUGAAUGUUGUAUUUGAAUUGAAUAUGAUAUGUGCUUGUGUAAAUUAUAAAAAUGUUAUAAAAUGAAAUAUACAUAUGCCUGAAAUAAGUCCCGAAAAUGUUACAUUCUGUUUGAAUAUUGAAUUUCGAUAGAUAUAUGUGAUUUUCCCACAUUGAAAGUGACCCUGCAUAUGUUGCAGAUUGGAUUUAGCUCGGACGAGUAAUCCUGAUAUAGCCCUCUCGAGCAUCCUGUUAUAUAGUUCCUACAAACAUCCUGACCGGUAGUGAUUUAGCAUGUGUUGCACACUACCGUAGCUCUUUAUGAGCAUCCUGAUAUGCGAUCGGUUAUGAUUCUGCAUAUAAUGUGGGCACAAACGCAGCUCUUUAUGAGCAUCCUGUUAAGCUCGCUUGAACUCUCUGCUACCUUAUCCGGUAUUUCCUGAUAGUAUCUCUUCAGAGAUAUCUGAUAAACUCUAUGAGCUUCCUGAGUAAAACUUUUAUGAGUUUCCUGAUUAGCCCUGAUAAGUGUCCUGUUACAUGGUUACAUGGCUCAUCUGAGCAUCCUGAUAUGUGGCUCGAGAGUGUGCUCCCUGAUUAUGUGCCCUAUUGGGUACCCCUGAUUAAGAAUUGACGGUUUACAGAAUUGUACACCUUGAGUGUACUAGUUGAAUAUCCAUCGAUAUUUCAAUAAUUCAACGAAGAAAACUCUCAACAUGAGAAAAUGAUGAGAUAAAUAGAAAUAUGUUCUAAAUGCUUCUGAAUUAUUUGAUGAAGGAUUAUGCGAUGAGCUCAUCUGUGUUUAUUUGAUGUGUAAAUGUAUUAUAUGACUAACUUGCUUGGUUGAGUAUAUGUGUUUAGGUAAACUUGCCAAAUUGAAAAAAAGCAUGUUAAUUGUAUGCUUAAAUAUUAAUAAAUGUGAUUGGUAAGUUUUAAUUCCUGUUAUAUGAGCUUACUAAGCAUGAUAUGCUUACUAGGUUUUAUUUUCUUUGUUUUAUACUAAGCAUUAUAUGCUUACUAGGUUUUAUUUUCUCUAUUUUAUAGUGCACAAAAGCUCGCGAAGGUUGGAGAUCGGUUGGAGCGUCAUCACACUAUUUGCUAGCUUAUUUUGGUAUAAUGGAAUGUAUAGGUUAACUUGGCCAUUGUUGGCUUGUAAAUAUUUUUUUUAAUCUAGCGAUUAGAAUGGCUAGUAAUGAUUUAUUUUGGUAUUUUUAUAAGGUUAUAUCAUGAUAAGUAUCUAUAUGACAAGUAUAUUAAGUAUGUUUGAUCAAGUUAUGUUUAAUAUAUAGAUUAGACAAGGGUAAUAAUAUAAACAUGAAUGCACAUGAUAAUAUAUCAUAUUAGAUGUUAGAAUUGGCUUGGAUUUAAUGCUUGAAUUGGUUGGUAUAUACUUGUAAGUGUUGGUGUAAGUUAUUGGCAAAUUUGAGUGAGAAAUAAAGUUAGGAAAUGGCUUUAUUUUGUCCACACGGGUAGACGCACGGGUGUGUGUCUUGACCGUGUGUGACACACGGCCUGGUACAUGGGAGUGUGGUUUGGCCAUGUGUCCUCUACAUUUUAAAAUUGAGAAACAUAAUGCUUAGAAUUGGGCACACGAGCAGAGACAUGGGUGUUUGUCUCAGUCGUGUGUGCUACACGGCCUAGAACACGGGUGUGUGUCAUGGCUGUGUGAACCCUGCACCUAAUUUUUGAAAAUUAAAUUGAUCACGCAGCCUACUCACACGUGCGUGUGGCUGGUCGUGUGGCACAAGUUAGAGAGUUACACGGGAUCGAACACGGUCUACAGCACGGGCACGUCCUAUGGUCACACGGGCGCGUCCCUUGACCACACGGGCGUGUGAGCCCUAUUUCUAGGAUUUUUUUUUUGAAAUUUCACAAAAAGAUUCUGUGAGAUUCUAAUUUAGUACCAACUCGAUUCUAACAUUUAUAUUGGGCCUCGAGGGUCCAUUCAAUGGACAAUAAGACCACUUACGAAAAUUGAAUAGUAAUUAACAUGAAUUAUCUGUAAUUGUUCUGUAAACUCUGGUAAUACUUUGUAACCCUAUUCUGGCGACGGAUACGGGUUAGAAGUGUUACAGUAAUAGUGAGUAAUUUUAGGGUUUUCAUGUAAAAUAAAAAAAAUGAAAAAUUGAAAGUGAGAUAUGUUAAAAUUGGGUGAGAAACUGUGGAGUGUUCUUCUUUUUUUUUUUACAACUCUGGUGGUUCAUCUGCAGGUUAUCUGAUAGCUUUUAUCUACAAAUAUGUUGUGCAUUCACAACUAUCUUGCAGUGUAUUAACCUGCAACACUGGUGGUUCACCCAUCCACAUUCCAGCAGCUCUUAUCUACAAAUAUGUUGUACAUUCAUAACCAUCUAGCAGCGGAUUAACCUGCAAAUUUUGUGAUUUAUCCACAACCUGAUGUGUAGGGAUGAACGAAUUCUGGGAAACUCUUACUAGGGUGUGUAAUGGUGGAGUAGGAUAUUUUAUGUUAAACUAAAAUUGUAUUGCUUUCAUAAAACAUGUGUAUACAAUUCUGAGAUUUCUGAGAUGAUACAUAUACAUAUACAUUAUUGAGUUGAUCUGAUAUACUGAUAUUCUAAAAUUGCUAUCGUGGAUUAUUCUAUGUGAUGUGAUUUUGCAUGCUAAUCGAUUGCACUGAUUUGUUUGUGAUGGAACUCACAGUGAGUUUCAUAGCUCACUCCCCUUUUGUUUCCAUCUUUACAGAUAACUCACCAGGUUAGGACGCGAACACGACAUUUGAAGGGUCUCGUCUCAGUCUUAAUUUAUUAAAAUAUUUUAGAUUUAUUAUUCGAUAUUUUUAAAUUUUAGAGACUAUACCGAAAGUAAGUCUCCAUUACCUAGGUUGGUAAAUUUAAACCGGUUUUUGACAACCUGAAAGUUUUUCAAAAAUAGACCAAGUUUUCAUCUAAAAUAAAACAAAUGUUUUAAUAUGAUCUUUUUAAAAAAAACACUCUGAUAGCUUAUUAGGCCAUUUCGGUGGCUAAUGUAGUCUUUCGAUUUUGAGUCUAAUGUCUAGGUCGGGUUCGCUUAUACAAAACAUUUACAAUUUUUCAAUAAUUUAUUUAAUUAAAUAAAAAUUAUUUUUAAUUAAAGUUUUAUUGAUUUAAGUAAUUAUUUACUUUUUUAUAUAAAGUAAUUUAUAUAUUUGACCUUAAGUUAGUAAUAAUAUUAUUAAUAUAUUAAAUCUGUGAAUCAAAUUAGUAGAAUCAUUUUAAAUAAAUAAGUUAGAAUUAUUUUUAAUGGAUUGAAUUUGAAUAUUAAAUGAAAUUCUAAAUAAACCUAAAAAUAAUUAUUUUAUUUAAAAAACGUAAACAAGUUAUAUAUAGAUUAAAAAUAUGACUAUUAAUAAUAUUAUAUUUUGGUAAUAAUUAAAAACUAAAUUUAUUAUAAUUUAUAAAAAUAAUUAUUUUUAAAAUAAAAUAACUUAAUUUUCAAGUGAAUAAUGGACAAAUAUUAAAUCGGCCUACAAGUAAAUACAUGGAUUAAUUCCAUUAAACAUAUUAUUUAUAAUUAAUAAAUGUUGGAUGUAGUGGUAAAGUAUACUGCACUUUUAAAAUUUAGGAUCUAUUUGGAUGUACAGUGUGUUUAUCUGCAGUUAGUGUAAAAAUAGCGGUAGUAGUGAGAUUAGAUACUGUAACGAUACUGUAGCGUGAUAAAAAAAAAAGCUAAACAUAAUGCAUUGAGGGCAAAUGUCUAUUCAAAGGUACCCUUAAUUAAAAAUUAAAAUUAACUCCACAAGGACCAAUUAAAAAUUAAAAUUUAAUUGGUAAUACUUUUAUUGGACUUUAUUGGAUUUGAAUAUAUGAACUUUUAAUAUUCAAAAGUUUGAUUUAAAAAUUAAAGUUGAAAUUGAUAACUCUUAUUUAUAGAAGUGAAUUAAUAAUGUUACAAUUGUAUUUUAAUUUUUAGAUCAAACAAAAUAAUAAGAUUAAAUUCCAAAAAAUUAAAAAGUAAAAGGACUGAUGGAUAAUUAAACCUUUCUUUUCUUCCCUUCUUUUCCAUCCACCUAAACAGAAAAAAGAAGUCAAUGUGUCGAAAAUUAGAAGCAAAACUUCUACACUAUCCUAUGUAUUUUUGUCUUUAUAUAUAAUAACAUAGAAAAAGAAAAAGGAACCAACUUGCUAGUAGCCUAUUUAUGUAUUUGAAAAAAACAACAGCCGUUAGAUCUGGCAAUGUAGAUAUAAAUAUAGUAAGAUUAAAUAAUUUUUUAAUGAUAAUAAUUAAAUAAAAUAAUAAACUGUAAAAAUAGUCACUUUAUUUACUUUAUAUACAAUUUUAACCAUUUAUUUAUCAUUUUAUUACGAAGUAGUGACUCUAUUUUUAAGCUCCGUUAUCUCCCUAACAGCAGUCCUACAUGACAAUCCAAAUGGGUUUUAAAUGUCAACUUGGAUGUUUUACAUGACAGUUUAAAUUAAAUUUAUUUAAUUAAAACCCUAUUUUCAUAUUAACAACUAAAUAUCUAAGUUUGCAUUUAAAACUUAUUUAGACUACCACAUAAGACUAUCGUUAGAGAGGUAACAAAAGUUAACAAUAGAGUGACCACUUCGUAACAAAAAGAUAACGUAAGUAACUAGAAUAUAAUCUGAAGCAAAUAAAGUGAUUAUUUUUAUAGUUUUCUUAAUUCUUAAAAAAAAUAUUUGUUUGACUAUUUUCAUAGACUGUUGAAAUUCAACCUUUCUAGAACAUUACAUCGGGUUCAAACUUAACACGCAUUCAAUUAUUUGUUUGGUUUGGUCCACAAUGCACAUUUAUAUUUUCUGAUUAAAUAAAUGAUUUCGUUUGGUUCAUCAUGAAAAAGAUAUUUGUUUUUUGUGCUGUAACUUGGGGAGAAAGACAUUCAUAUUUGGAUUACUUUGCUAUAAAUUCAAACUAUCUGACGCCAAAGUAUAUUAUCUGAUCUUUCUCCUCCUUAUCUUUCUCAGAGUUUUUCUUGAUUUUUGCCUUUACCACAAACUUAAAAGCUUCGGUUUUUAUUUUCACUUUGAAAAACAAAAAUGGAUAAGAUUAAGACUAUGAUGCGCGCUGUUCAAUACAGUAAAUAUGGCGGAGGAGUCGCCGAUCUCAAGGUAAUAUACUUGCUUCUUUUGAUUAUGUUUAUUUCUUGAGUUUAAAAGUUUGAAUAAAAGUUUAAAAUGGAGGUUUAAUUAAAAUUUGUGAUUUAGUCCUUAAUCUUAUAGACUUUUAAGGAUAUAAGGCUGGGUGAAGGGGGGGGGGGUUAAAUUAGCUAAUUAAAUUAGGAUCGUUGAUUUAAUAUUGAAGUACCGACACCAUCCGUAAAAUCUUGAGAUGUGCUGAUUUUUCUACACGUGUCUACCUUGAUGGCUCAUCGUCACCGCUAUCGGUGCUGCUCUUCUCAUACUGCCGAUUAAGACUUCGGAUCUAUCCAGUUCUUAAUUCUUGAAAUUUCUCAAAUUUUUUCUUUUAGGUUUUUUUCAUGCUUUCUUUAGGAUUUUUUUUAUUACAAGUGAAAUUAAGAUGCCCAGAAUAGAUGUUGUCUGAGAAUCGAAUCAGUGAAAUGAAAUAUCGAAAAUUUUGGUUGUUUAUUAAAAUAUUAAGUUGGUUUUGAAGUUUGAGUCCAAAGCCGAAUUGAUUCUUUCACUAACAUGGGAAAACUUAAAUAAUUUUGAGAUCAAAUUGUAAUUUUAUUAAACUCAUGAAAUGGAUUCCAUUAGCACGGGGAUUCCGGAAAGAGUAUGAGACUGAGAGCUUGACGGCAAAGUCAACGUCCUUUUUUUUUUGGCAUAUAUGCAUUUCCAGCAUUUCUUUACUUUGAUGAACUUGAAAAAAAAAUGCUAAUGACCUGAUUUUAUAACGAGUGUGAAUUUUGUGGGUGUUGCAGCAAGUUGAAGUUCCGGUUCCCAGUCCAAAAAAGGAUGAAGUUUUGAUCAAAGUAGAGACAGCUAGUAUUAACCCAAUCGACUGGAAACUACAGGACGGGGUAGCUCGGCCAUUUUUACCUCGGAAAUUCCCCCACAUUCCUGGUACUUUACUUUUCUCUGGAUGGUUCAGCUCUAUGGGUUAAUUCGAAGCAUCAAAACUUUUCUUUCUGUGAUUGCUUGUUUUUCAAUCAUUUGCUUAACAACAUUUGGUCGAGCAGGUACCGAUGUAGCUGGAGAAGUCGUACAAGUUGGAUCAGAAGUCCAGAGUUUCAAAGUUGGGGAGAACGUUGUUGCCGUACUUGGUGUAAGAACUCAUUCUUAUUCUGAAGUUUGUUGCAUACUUGCAUGAUAGAAACAUAUGUAUGUUUGAUGUUACUUUGGACAGUUUGUUGCUUCAAGCUAUACAUACACUCAGGCCAUAGAUUCUUUUUCACCUUGUUAUUUAUUUCCUUGUUUUAUGUGUUAUCUAGCAUCAUUUAUGUCCUUGGUCUUGCCAAUAUCUUACUAUUUGAAUAUAUUUUGCAAUUACAGAAUGGAGGUGCACUAGCUGAGUAUGCUGUCGCUAAUGAAGGUUCCACAGUUUCAAGGCCUCCAGAGGUAUCAGCCCGUGAAGCGGCGGCUUUGCCAAUUGCUGGCCUCGCAGCUCACCAGUCACUCACCCAGCUUGCUGGGCUCAAACUCGAUGGAACCGGCCCGGAAGUGAAUGUAUUGGUUACCGCUGCUUCAGGUGGUGUAGGUCAAUAUGCCGUUCAACUCCUAAAGCUUGCAAAUGCACACAUUACAGCCACUUGUGGGGCUCGUAACAUAGAUUUAGUCAGGAGCCUGGGGGCUGAUGAGGUUCUUGACUACAAAACUCCUGAUGGGGGGGCUCUCAAGAGCCCUUCUGGUCGAAAAUACGAUGUAAUCAUCCACUGCGCACACAACAUUCCUUGGUCUACCUUUGAGGCUAACUUGACUUCAAAAGGGAAGGUAGUAGAUACCACUCCUGGUUUCGGUACUUUGAUGAGUGUUGCUUUCAAAAAGAUAACAUUCGCAAAGAAGCAACUCAUACCCUUGUUCACCUCACCUAAGAAAGAAAACCUCGAAU